UUCUACAUCUAUUUAUAAGAUUAACGGGUGCCAGUUAUGCCAUUACAAAUUAUCCCCUCAUCAGAUAUUUCGUUAAAAUUCAUUCUGAAACACUAAAACUAAAUAAUCGAACAUGGCUUUGCGGGUCGAUGAUGCCAGAAGCAAUUCGACUGCAAUUAUCACUUGUUUAGUUUCUGUGCUUGCCGUGGUUUACUUGGCAUGGAAUGUGAAAAAAUCAAGGAAAGCAAAUGCUAAACUGCCACCAGGACCUCCCGGCUUGCCUGUAGUCGGAUACCUCCCAUUUCUCGGAACUACUGACUUGCACAAGAAAUUCACGGAAUUAUCCGGAGUUUACGGUCCGAUCUUCAAGCUCUGGCUCGGAAAUAAAUUAUGUGUAGUGGUGAGCUCACCUUCCCUAAUUAGACAAGUGGUUCGUGAUCAAGAUACAACAUUCGCGAACCGUGACCCACCGAAGGCUGCACUAGUGGUCUCCUAUGGUGGCAAUGAUAUUGCAUGGUCCAAUUACGGUCCCGAAUGGAGAAAGUUGCGCAAAUUUUUUGUGGGCAAGAUGAUGAGUAACGCAAGCCUUGAUGCUUGUUAUGCUCUAAGAAAACAAGAGGUUAAAAAUACUAUCAGGGAUUUGUAUAACAACGACAACAAAAUUGGCAAGCCCAUUGACAUUGGUGAAUUGUCGUUUUCAACAUUGGUAUGUGCUAUACAGAACAUGCUGUGGGGUGAAGCGCUUGAAAUAAGAGAGAAAGGGACCACUAAUCUUGGGGCUGGGCUAAAAUUUAAGCUGGCAGAACUCAUGGUGCUUGCGGGAACACCGAAUAUUUCGGAUGUCUUUCCAAUGCUUUCAUGGCUUGACAUACAAGGUAUAGAGAGGAGAGCAAAGAAGAUUUCACUCUGGCUUGAAAAUGUUAUAAAUUCUACUGUUGAACAGCAUAGAAACAAGGAGUCAACUGUUGAAGGUGAAGAAAGAGCGGGGAAAAAUUUUGAAGGAUCAAGGAACAAGAACUUCUUGCAGUUACUAUUGGAGCUUCAAGAAAAUGAUGACAGUGCUUCCUCAAUUAGCAUGAACCAAUUCAAGGCCGUACUCAUGGUAUGUUAAGUAACUAGCAACGAACAGUUAUACAAGCACAGUUGUAUAUUUGCAUGAGUGAUAUUUUCAACCUUUUUUUUUAAUUAGAAUUUUAUUGUCACCUUUUGGACAGGAUAUAAUUACGGCUGGAACCGACACCACAGCUACGAUGGUGGAAUGGACAAUGGCAGAGUUGAUGCAGCAUCCACAAGUAAUGAAGAACGUUCAGGAAGAAUUAGCUCAAGUUGUGGGCAUGGACAGUUGUGUUGAAGAAUUUCACCUGUCUAGAUUAAAGUAUUUAGAUGCUGUGGUGAAGGAAACAUUUCGUCUGCAUCCUGCAGUGCCUUUAUUAGUACCACGCAGAGCAAGCGAGAGUGGCAGCAUUGGUGGCUAUACCAUUCCCAAAGAUACAACUCUUAUGUUGAAUGUUUGGGCUAUCCACAGGGACCCUCACCUUUGGGAUAAUCCCUUAGAAUUUCGACCCGAGAGGUUUCUGAAUGUUGGUGUCGAGAGUAAGUUCGAUUACUCAGGUAACAAUUUUCAGUACUUGCCAUUUGGUUCUGGUAGAAGAAUGUGUGCUGGGAUUCCUCUAGCUGAGAGGAUGCUGAUGUUUGUUUUGGCUUCGUUAUUGCACUCAUUUGAGUGGGAAUUGCCAGCUGGCACAAAGCUAAACUUAUCUGAAAAAUUUGGGAUUGUCAUUAAGAAAAAAGAGCCUUUGGUUGCUAUUCCAACACCAAGACUAUCCAAUUCAGAGCUCUACCAUUAAGACAAAAUGGUUGUGAUGAUUUUGUUAAUUUUCCGAAGAUUUGUAUGUUAUUUAGUUCAAUCGUAAUAAAAUAUUUCAAAUAAGAGUCCUCCGUUGCUUUUUUUUUUUUUUUUUUUUCAACGGCAUAAUCUGUCGUCAUGCUUGUAUUUGGAGCUACUUUGGAAUAAUUAUGUUUGAAUUACAAUUUAUAAAUAUUUACGUUUUAAAUUUUUUAUAAGAGUCUAAAUUUAUACACGUUUAAUAUCCCGCUUCAUAGAUAUUUAACACAAUUUAUAUCAUACAUUGUAUACCCAUUUGUCAUAAAUUAUACUAUUUUGUAUCUCUAAAUAAUAUUACGUAUUGAUAUUAUAAUAUAUAUAUAUAUGUUUAUCAAAAGACUAUACCAUUCAAUAUAUAUUGAAAAGAGAACAAAGAAGAUUUUCUUAUGGUUUAAAAAUAUUAUGAAUUCUGCUGUUGAACAGUAUGGAAACAAGGUCUCUGUUGUUAAAGGUGAAGAAGCAACAGGGAACAAUAUUGAAGGAAGAAAUUUCACAUGUUUAGUUGCUGAAUUUGCCGCUGUAUUCUAUCGGUAGUAGAGUUUUUAUUUUUCUCUAUUAAUUUAAGUCAAUUUUCUAUAACAAAUUCGGUUGAGUUUAAUUGUGUUAUAAUAUAAAUUGAAUGAUAAUAGAAUUUUCAACAAAUAUUUCAAUAUUUCUAUCUCGAUUGUUGAAGUGCCAUUUAUUUGUUAUGCGAUCGAUUUUAAAAUUUAUAAAAUUAUUUGUUACUAAAUUGCAUCAUAUGCUAAAAUCACCUGAAACCUAAUUCCAUAACUAACCCUUUAUUUUUAGUUCUCAAGAAAUCUUGUAAGAACAAAAAUCUUUUAUAACAAAACUUUUACAACACAUUAAUUUGUAACUCAUUCCUGUGCGCGAAUCACUCUCAAUUUCCUUCAAUUGCUGUUUAACAAUCAUCUACUUAUCAAAAUUCAAGCAUAAUCUUUUUUUUUUAAUUUCUUCAUCAUUCUUUAAAAAAAAAAUCAGGAUAUGCUGUUAAAUUUUGAAAUAAAUAAAUUAACCAAAGUUGGUUGAUGUGAGUGGUUCAAUGAUGAGCAUAAUUUAUAUACAUAUUUUACCUUUAAUUAUAUAAUUAUUAGUUAUUUUUAUUAGUUAUUUUUAAUUAAUUGAAUUAUUUUAUUGCAUAGAGAAUUAAUUGGAGAUUGGGAAACAAAAAGUGCAUAAAGAAUAACAAGUUUGGGAAAGCAUCAAUCAAAGCCGUGACGCAAUUAAGAGUUUAUAGCAUAUGAAGCCAAGAGUAAUUUGCACUCAAAAAGAAUUUCAAUUAUUCAAGUGACCUGGACCUGCAUGGCAUUGUAAUGCAUGGAAAGCAACUUAAAGGGGCCCACACUUGGCUUUUACAAUUGGAAAAAGGAAUCCUAGUGCAAGCUUAAUUGAUGAGCACGUGAGUGAGAGCAAAGAAAAUUAAAAGGCCAAGCCUUUUGGCUUAAGGAAAUAACAAGGUCGGUGGGGCCCAUUUUAAAGAGUAAUAUAAAAGCAAGCUUUUGGCUUUUGGAGAGAGGAGCCGCGAGAGGAGGAAAACGCAAGACAAAGAGAAGAAAAUCUGCAGCAGUUCGGCUUCUAUGGUUGGUUUUAUCUCUUUUGUUACUCUUAAUUCAAAUAUGUCUAGUUAAUUUUCUUAUAUUAAAGUUAAGGAUGAAACCCUAUUCAAUGAAAUAAUUAUCUUUUUAUUUAUUUAAUUCCCAUAUAUGUUCUUUAAUGAUUAUGAUUUUUAUUUCACAUGAUUAAUUGGAUGUUAUUAAAAUUUUUUCAUCAAUUCUGUCAUGCAUUAUUGAUUGUUAGGAUUAAUAUUCAAUUAAAUCUAUACUUAGAUUUAUAACGUUUAUACAUGAUUAUCUUUGAUUCUAUGUCUUUCAUUAAAUUGUUUACAUGGAGUGCUUAGGAAAACUUUGACUCUUUGUUAUUCAAUAUGUUCACAUGGGAUACUUAGAUGUCAUACUAUUAAGCGGAAAAAGAACCUAUAUUAGAUUUAAUUAUUUGGGCUUAAUUGUUAUAUCCAUGAGAUGACACAAAUUGAUUUCGAGUUGUCACUCUAAAAUUAGAGAUUAAUGAAUAUUUAGAUAAUUACUAGUUGAAUAGCGGUGGAUUCUGAAACCUUGGUAAUUUCUAUCUUAUUGAAUUCUCCUUUACUUUAAUUGUUUUCUUAGUUUAAUUAAUUUAAUUUCUUUUAAAACUCAAUUUGCUUAACUAGGUUAGAAUUAAUAUUAAUUUUAGAUUUAAAUUAGACUUUUCAAUUUAUAACAAUCCAUGUGGGAUCGACCUCGUUACCACUACUUUAUUUCUAGAUUCGUGCACUUGCGAGUAUAUUAAAAUUUUCACAACAAGUUUUUGGCGCCGUUGCCGGGGAUUGUGCCAGAAAGUCAGUUUAAUCUAGGUUGAUUUGAUUCUUCCACUAGUUAUAAUUUAUGUUGUCUUUUAUUUUAUUAUUAUUUUUAAUUAACAAAAACACACAAAAAAACUUUUAUUUUUCUUUAAAUUCAUUGUUUGGUUGUUUGAUUUCUUUUAUUUUUUAAAUUUUGUUUAUUCUCAUUAUUGUUGGUUUAUUUUAUUUUAUUUUUUUCUUUCCUUGUCUAGUUAGUUUAUGAGUGUUUGGGAAUGUGAUUCAACAAAUCGUUUGGUAAAAGAGAGUCAAAAAUUGAUAGUAGUCAAGUUAGUUCUUCUGAAGUCAUGGAUGACCCAAAUAGAUUAUUGCCAAUACUUCCACCAGUGCAAGCAGAGAAAACCCUUAGAGAAUAUUUUUCACCACUUGCAGCCAACCAACCAUCUUGUAUUGUGUUGCCACAAACUACAGCAACACACUUUGAACUUUUUGAACUUAAGCCCUCAGUCAUCCAACUUUUACCAUCUUUCCAUGGGUUAGAGAGAGAGGAUCCAUAUUUGCACAUUAAGGAAUUUCUUGACAUAUGCUCUACAUUCCGUUUUCAAAAUUUUAAUGAUGAGUUAAUCAGGCUUCGUAUGUUAUCUUUCUCAUUAAAAGACAAAGCAAAAGCUUGGUUGAAUUCGCUUUCUGCUGGGUCUAUAACUACGUGGGAUGAAUUGAAUAAUAAGUUCCUCACCAAGUUUUUCCCUAUGUCUAAAACAAAUGCCCUUAGGAGAGAGAUAAGUGAUUUCUAUUAAAGAGAGGGUGAGCAAUUUUAUGAGUGUUGGGAAAGAUUCAAUGAUUUACUCCUCAAGUGCCCCCACCAUGGUUUUGAGAAAUGGAGACUUAUACAAUGCUUUUAUAACGGUUUAACCAUGUCGAAUCGUCAUAUGGUAGAGUCUAUGAAUGGUGGGAGAUUUUUGAACCUACAUGAAGGGGCUGCAUGGGAUUUCUUUAAUUCACUUUCUGAGAAUUCUCAACAGUGAGAUUUUUCAAGCCAAAGGGAAAAAUCAUCUCAAGUUUCUAGAAAGGGGUUAUAUGAAGUUAAGGAUGAUUUUGAUGUGAAAUCCACUCUAAUUACACUUUCUAGAAAAGUAGAUGCCUUAGCUCUGAACCAAUCAAUGAAUCAUCAUCCUAGUGUAGCUAAUGAGGUUUGUGCUAUUUGUUCUAACUUGUCUCAAACAGCACAAAACUGUCCAUCAUUACCAGUCUAUCCAGAGGCUUAUUCUGAGCAGGUACAUGCCUUACAAUCAUAUGAGAAAACCUCCAAUAAUACAUAUUCACUCACAUAUAAUCCUAAUUGGAGGAAUCACCCUAAUUUUUCUUGGAAACAAAAUCAAUCUUUGUCAAACCAAGGAGGACAACAAUUUAACAUGCCCAAUCAACAAUUUGUCCCUCCUAACCAAGUAUAUCCUCCUGCCCAACAACCUAUAUCUCAAUUUGUUACACCCCAACAAAGAAAACCUUCUUUAGAGGAUACACUUCAAAGUUUCAUUCAGUCAACCUAAUAAGCUUUUCAGUCAAACACUCAAGCUAUUCUAAAGCUUGAACAUCAAUUGGGUCAAUUAGCAACUACUGUAGCGGAGAAAGAAAAAAGAAAAUUCCCCAGUCAAUCAAUUCCUAAUCCUAAAGGAGUGCAUGAAGUUGGAUCGAGUUCAAGCCAUCAGCAUGAAGAAGCAAAAUCAAUUAUGACCUUGAGAAGAGGAAAAUUGUUUGACAACAAAGUGGAGGUUCAAACAAAGAAGACAUCUGAGCCUACUUCUUCAGAUCCAAUUACAUCACAAGAAUCAUCACCAAAUGAUCUUGAAGAGAGUGACCCGCUAGCUUACAUUCCCAAGGCUCAUUUUCCUCAAAGGUUAACAAAGGUAAAGAAAGGGACUUCAACAUGUGAGAUUAUAGAAAUCUUCAAGCAGGUAAGUAUAAACAUCCAUUUACUCGAUGCUAUUAAGCAAGUUCCUUCCUAUGCCAAGUUUUUGAAAGAUUUAUGCACUAAAAAGAGAAAUUUGCAUGUCACUAAAAAGGCGUUUUUAACUGAACAAACUAGCAAUUUACUUCAAUGUAAAAUGCCACCAAAAUUUAAGGAUCCUGGUUCUCCUACUAUUUCAUGUGUUAUAGGGAACCAAUGUUUUGAUAAAGCAUUAUUGGAUUUAGGUGCUAGUGUUAAUCUCUUACCUUAUUCCAUUUACAUGCAGCUUGGACUAGGUGAGUUAAAAUCAACUCCUAUUAUUUUGCAACUUGCUGAUAGGUCAAUGAAAAUACCUCGUGGUAUUAUAGAGGAUGUGUUGAUACAGAUUGACAAAUUUUAUUAUCCUGUUGAUUUUAUUGUUAUUGAUACUCAACAUGUACAUGAUCUUAAGAAACACACUCCACUUAUUCUUGGUCGUCCUUUCUUAGCUACAGCUGAUGCUCAUAUUAGUUGCAGGACUUGAAACAUGCAAUUGUCUUUUGGUAACAUGACCAUGGAAUUAAAUAUUUUUAAUGUUCCCAAGCAGGCACAAGAAGAUGAUGAAGUCGUUGAAGUAGAUAUGAUAGAAGCAUCAAUUGAUGACUCACUUAUUUCUAACCAUUGUGACAAUCCAUUAAUACCUUGCACAACUGACUCUGAUUUCUCUAUUGAUGUUGAUAGUGAUAUUGAAGAAGUUAAUGCUUUACUUGAUUCGACUCUUAUCAUAGAUCUAAUUAAGUGGAAAGAAAAGAUAAGAUUGAGCCACUUCCUCCUGAAGAGAAAAGUGCAACAUAGGUCACAUUCUGACAUAAAAAAGGUGGUAAGAUCUAAAACGCUUAAAUUAUUAGAUUUUUAUACUACUUUAGAUAACUCUCAGGAAAGCUUAGAACAGAAGAGAUCAAAGCAAUGCGAUAUUGAGGAGUUUCAUUACCAUCAUCCUUUUAUGGAUAAAAUGCUCCAGUGCUUAAUCAAUUAUGCUUUUUGGUAUUUUCUAUAUAAUUGCUUUAAUUUUCACCAAAUUCUUAUUGAUCCUGGUUGAUUUGUUGUUUACAUUAAUUAGUUAGUUAGUCGGAUUUUUUUAUUAUUAUUUAUAUUUCUUCUAACGUUUUCUUUUGAGUUGUCAUUCUUUUAAGUUUUCCUAGCUCAGUCAGGUGUGUUCUCUCCAACUUUCUCUUUUAUUAUUUAUGUUUUUAUUUUUCAUCUUUUUGCGUGCAUAUCUUUUAUUUAUGACACAUUGAGGACAAUGUUCCGAAUAAGUUUGGGGGUGGGAAUAAUGUUGCUUUGUUUGUUAAAAAAAACUAAAAAAAAAUUUCAAAAAUUCAAAAAAAAAUUGUGUUUUUUUUGUUUUUACGUGAAAAGCCAAUGAUAAAAACUUGAUUGACAAUGAAUAUGGUUUUUAGAAAGGGUUUAAUAUUGUCUUAAUUUAUACUUGAUUCUUAUGUUAGUUCCUCUUGAUUGAGAUUCUUUAAAAUAUAAGCACUAAUAUCAAUUCUUUCAUAAUUUUGACUUGAAAUUUGAGAUUGACGCAGCCUGAGUUGAGAAUUUUAGAUAGAGUAAAUGACUGUUUGUCUUUAUUCUUAUCUCCACAAUACAAAAUAGUAUACACAGGCACCAAAGUCAGAAAUAACUACCUAUAAUCCUUAAGAGUGAAGCUAUCCUUGAGUAAUUUAGGCCUAUGUACCACAAGUAUGUAGAGGAUAAUCUACCAUGAGAAGAAUGCUACCUUAAGGGGUAGAGUGAAAGCUCCUGACUAUGGUUAAAAAAAAAAGAAGAAGAAAAAGAGAAAGAAAAAAUCAAAUCAAGUGCAUGUGCUGAAAAAAAAAUCAAAAGAAAAUGCACAUAAAAGCCUGUGAAAAAAAAAUUGGAGAUUAAGAUGAUAAGAUUAGCUUGACCUACUCUUUUCUUUUUUUGAGGCGAAGGUUGUUGAUAUUGAAGAUUUUAGGAAUGAAUUUGAUUGAAUUGAUUUCACACACACACAACAAGAAUCGAAAGAGAGAUGGGAUUGAUUAUUGAAUUAAAGUUAGAACUUUGCCAAUAUUUGAAAUUUUGUUUGAGCUAUAUAAUUUAUGCAAUCUUUGAGGGUAUUUUCAUAUUUUAUUUAAAGUUUUUUUUUCUUUUUAUUUUAUUUUAUUUAUUUUUUAUUUUUUUAAAAUGAUGUUUGUGGGUGUCAUCACUGAAGCUCUCACGAGACUAUAACUCGUCCACUAGGGGUUUAAAGGCUUGUUGCAUACGCUAAAUGCAAUCGCGAUUACCUGCGAAAAUGGUUUAGUUAGGAUUUACUUUUUGUUUUGUUAUUUUUUUUUUUUUUUUUAGUUUUAGCUUUGCUCGAGGACUAGCAAAAUCUAAGUUUGGGGGUAUUUGAUGAGCAUAAUUUAUAUACAUAUUUUACCUUUAAUUAUAUAAUUAUUAGUUAUCUUUAUUAGUUAUUUUUAAUUAAUUGAAUUAUUUUAUUGCAUAGGGAAUUAAUUGGAGAUUGGGAAACAAAAAGUGCAUAAAGAAUAACAAGUUUGGGAAAGCAUCAAUCAAAGCCAUGACACAAUUAAGAGUUUAUAGCAUAUGAAGGCAAGAGUAAUUUGCACUAAAAAAGAAUUUCAAUUAUUCAAGUGAUCUGGACGUGCAUAGUAUUGUAAUGCAUGGAAAGCAACUUAAAGGGGCCCACACUUGGCUUUUACAAUUGGAAAAAGGAAUCCUAGUGCAAGCUUAAUUGGUGAGCACGUGAGUGAGAGCAAAGAAAAUUAAAAGGCCAAGCCUUUUGGCUUAAGGAAAUAACAAGGUCGGUGGGGCCCAUUUUAAAGAGUAAUAUAAAAGCAAGCUUUUGGCUUUUGGAGAGAGAAGCCGCCAGAGGAGGAAAACGCGAGACAAAGAGAAGAAAAUAUGCCGCAGUUCGACUUCUAUGGUUGGUUUUAUCUCUUUUGUUACUCUUAAUUCAAGUAUGUCUAGCUAAUUUUCUUAUAUUGAAGUUAAGGAUGAAAUCAUAUUCAAUGAAAUAAUUAUCUUUUUAUUUAUUUAAUUCCCAUAUAUGUUCUUUAAUGAUUAUGAUUUUUAUUUCACAUGAUUAAUUGGAUGUUAUUAAAAUCUUUUCAUCAAUUCUGUCAUAUAUUAUUGAUUGUUAUGAUUAAUAUUAAAUUAAAUCUAUACUUGGAUUUAUAAAGUUUAUACAUGAUUAUCUUUGAUUCUAUGUCUUUCAUUAAAUUGUUUACAUGGAGUGCCUAGGAAAACUUUGACUCUUUGUUAUUCAAUAUGUUCACAUGGGAUACUUAGAUGUCGUACUAUUAAGCGGAAAAAGAACCUAUAUUAGAUUUAAUUAUUUGGGCUUAAUUGUUAUAUCCAUGAGAUGACAUAGAUUGAUUUCGAGUUGUCACUCUAAAAUUGGGGAUUAAUGAAUAUUUAGAUAAUUACUAGUUGAAUAGUGGUGGAUUCUGAAACCUUGGUAAUUUCUAUCUUAUUGAAUUCUCCUUUACUUUAAUUGUUUUCUUAGUUUAAUUAGUUUAAUUUCUCUUAAAACUCAAUUCGCUCAACUAGGUUAGAAUUAAUAUUAAUUUUAGAUUUAAAUUAGACUUUUCAAUUUAUAACAAUCCCUGUGGGAUCGACCUCGUUACCACUACUCUAUUUCUAGAUUCGUGCGCUUGCGAGUAUAUUAAAAUUUUCACAACAUUCGGCACUCUCACUCCUUAAGAGAGGUCAGGGGUUCAAGCCUCGCUCUCGUAUGGAGUCACCACUUUGACCAGCACUUUACCCCUUACAGACCGACCCGGUGCGAGCAUGAAUUAGUCUGGGUUGUGGUACGGGCUUAAAGGUGCCUCCCACAAUUGAGACCCACUCAGGACCACCUCGUGGUUCGGACAAAAAAAAAAUUGAAAUAAAUUAUCUCAAAAUAAUUACUAACCAGAAAAAACAAAGGGGUUUAACUAGGUUAUGCAUACCUUUGAAAAUUAUAUGUUGAUCGAUAAGCAUGAUGAUCACGAUUGAGGAGUUUAAUUAAAAUUUAUAAGAUUUUAAAAUUAAUCAGGGUUAAAUUCUAAAUUUUAGAAAGAGAGGUUUUGUGAGAAUGCUGAAAGGGUGUUAAUAGUUCCACUCUUUUUUAAAAAAACCAUAGUCAUCAUUUUUCCCGAUUUCUUCUUCCCAUCUCCAUCUUAUUUAGAAAUUUCCCAGAGCCUUUGUUUCCCACCAUUCAUUUUUCUUCUUUCUAAUUUAAGAUUAUAGUAUUAUAAAAAUAAUUACUCACAUUUUAUCAAACACCUCCAUUAUACCAAGGCCUUGUUUUAGUAGUAGGCUUUUAUUAUCUCAAUAAAAUUGAAAAAACAAAGCUCAAUAAUAUUGGAAAAAAAACCUACCCAUAUUUGUAACUUUAAUUUAUUAUUCUCCAUAGACCUACUUUUUAGCUUUGAAUUUUGUUGGAGCCAUAUAUAAACAGAAUAUGUUGAAAUCAGCACAAAAAAAAAACUAAUUAUAUAAUUUUUGUUCCCAAGGACACGACUGUGUGAUUUUUAAGAAGUUUUGUUUGGCUGGCCACUUAGGUUUAAAUCUUGGUGGAGAUUAGGGGUUAAGAAAUAAAUUUGGACUUUGCACACCCCUUUAACUUUUAAAAAGAAUGAAAAAAACUAAUUAAUUAAUCUUUAUUUUAUUUAUUAAAUGUCAUAAUCAUAUGCAUAUUUUAUUUGUUAUCUUUCUAUUUAAAAGAUAGGAGGGCAAAUAAAACUGAAAUAAAUGUUUAUCCCUAUCUCCAUCUUUCAAGUUCCAUAGUUAGGUGACCAGCUAAAGAAAAUUAAUUGAAAGUUACUCCAUCAAAUUAAAAAAAAUUAUUUAUUUAAUUUGUGGAGAUGUAGAAAAUCAAACCCCAUACCUUUUCGCAUGCAAAAGUGUCAACCUGGUCUAGCUAUGUUGCAACAGUAAACAUAUUUUAAUACAUGACUAUCAUCUUUUAUCCUAAAUACUACUAUAACUAUGGGUUCAGUUAUGCUGUAACUGUGGUAUGGUACCACAGUUGUUUUCAACCAUUAAAUUCAACUUAUAUAACUAUGCAACUGUAGAUCUAACGGCUGAAAGCAACUAUGGUACCAUACCACAGUUGCAACAUAGUUUUGCCCCUAUAACUCAUAACAUUCAAUUGAAAUAAUAAAUGUUAACACUUGGCUAUAAAUAAAGGUUUUGUACUUGAAUCUUCAUGCAUGACCUUCAUUCCUUUAUUGACUUUGCUAACACAGAUUUUGAGGCAUUAAAACUAAAUAAUAAUUGACUUUGUGGGCCGAGGAUGCCAGCAACAAGGAGACCACAAUUAUCACUAGUUAAGUUACUCUAAUUGCCGUUGUCUUAUAUUCAUAAAAUAUUAGUAAUAAGAUUAUUGUAGAAUUUUUUUAUAUUAAAAUUAAGUCAAUUUGUUAUAACAAAUUUAGUUGAGUUUAAUCGUGUUACUACAUACAUUGAAUAAUAAUAGAAUUCUCGACAAAUAUUUCAAUAUUUUUAUCCCAAGCGUUGGAGUGGCAUUUAUUUGUUAGACAAUCGAUUUUAGAACUUAUAAAAUUAUUCGUUACUGAAUUGCACCAUAUGCUGCAUGACCUGAAACUUAAUAAACGGAACGUAGCGUUGGCAACAUUCACUGUCAUGACUUUGUGACAUUAGAAUUAAAUUUUUUUGCACAUUUAAUUUGUUUACUUCCAAAUUAAUAUUUAACAAAAUAUUUUUUCACAUUAUCAAUGGACAAAACUCCAACGAAAAUAACUAUACAAUAUAUGCUAGUAUUGUAUGCCAUAUCAUCUGUAAUUUUGUCAGGAUCGAUCAUUUUAAUUUUUAAGCAAAACUUUUUAUCAAUGGACAAACACCUCACACAGCUUGUCAGAGGCAUUAUUAUGAUGGAAAACUGAUAAACAGUGAACUCGAAACUCAAUUACUACAAGUCGUUUAGAGGAUUCAGUCUUGGAUGACUUGUCACUUGUGGAAUUCUUGAAGCCAGAACCGACAUAAUCUCAGUCGUCAUUCUGUCUUAAGUAAUACACAUGGUUUGCAUGUGUGUUGAAGCUGACUCUUUGCUUGGAUCAAGAAACGACGUCUUUGAGUGCCGUUUCUUAAACACACUUUAAAUCAGCUUGUGUCAAGCACGUGAGGUAGAGCUUUUUGAAUAGAUUUGGCGGGAAUGGUAGUUAGUGUAACAACCCAGAAAUAGAGGUUAAAAGGUGAAGGCUUUGUCAUCAUCUACACAUGAUUUGGGAAACAUUGAGAGUAGAGAAAAAGAUAGAGAGAGAAAGGGGUUAACAAGUUCUUGUUCUCUGUAAAUCGAUUUAUAUUCUUGUAAAGUUUGUGAUCUCAAUUAGUGAAAGACUGUUGCUUUGUUUCCAGUGGAUGUAGGCACCACUUCUUGGUGCUGAACCACUUAUACUUGGUGUCAUAUUGUUUCUUUAAUGCUUUGAUUCUUGCGUGUGAUUGUUGCUGGAUAAUCUGUGCUGUUAAUUCUCAAACCAUUGAUACAGAAUUAAUGUCUUGGGGAGAAUUUGGUUAGUCUUAUCAAAGCCGAAUUCACAACAAAUUGGUAUCAGAGCCCUCUUUUCUGUAUCAAGGUUCAAGAAAUGACUAACAAGGUGGAUCUUGAGAAGUUCAAUGGUCAGAAUGAUUUCAAUAUGUGGAGGAUCAAGAUGGAAGCAUUGUUAAUCACACAAGGUCUGGGAGAUGCCAUUGAUCCAGUCAUUAAGAGUGAAAAUGCAGAAGCCUAUUCUUCAAGAACUCCAGAACAGAUGGCUAAGAUUGAAAAAAAGGCAAGAAGCACCAUCAUCCUCAGUCUUGGUGACUUAGUGAUAAGGGAAGUUGCCAAGAAAAAGACUGUUGCUAGGCUCUGGGCAAAACUGGAACAAUUGUAUAUGACAAAGUCCUUAGCAAACAGGCUAUACAUCAAGAAAAAGAUGUUCUCACUGAGGAUGAUUGAAGGAGCAUCACUUGAUGAACACAUAGAUGAGUUUAAUAAAGUUUGUGAUGAACUGGAAACAAUUGAUGAAGGACUGAGUGAUGAGAGCAAGGCUUUGCUGUUAAUCAGUUCUUCACCAAAAUCAUAUGAACAUUUUGUGGAUGCCUUGUUAUAUGGAAGGCAAUCACUCUCCUUGGAAGAGGUUAAAUCUACUCUUGGUACCAAGAAGUUAAAAGAAAAACAAGAUAACUCAGAGAGUGAAUCAAGUGAAGGGCUGAUGGCAAGGGGCAGAUCUGAAAAAAAGGAGUACAAAGGAAAAAAACAAGGGAGAUCAAAGUCAAAGCAGAAACAUUUGAAGUGUUUUCACUGCCACAAAGAAGGGCAUUUCAAGAGGGAUUGCCCUGAGAGAAAAACAAAGCAAAAGGAAUCAAAAGACAAAUCUGGAAAUACAGCAAUAGCCACAGAAGAAACCAGUUUUGAGAUAGCUGAAGUCCUCAUUGCCACAAAAGAAAAAAACUCAAGGUCAGUGGGUACUAGACUCUGGAUGUACUUUUCAUAUGAGUCCAAAUAGAAAUUACUUUACUACAUAUCAGUCCUGUGAUGGGGGUAUGGUGCUGAUGGGAAAUAAUUCAGUUUGUAAAGCAGUUGGGAUUGGGACUGUAAGCCUUAAGAUGUAUGAUGGCAUGGUUAGAGAACUAACUCAGUUUAGGCAUGUUCCUGAGCUUAAAAGGAACCUAAUAUCUAUUGGCAUGCUUGAUCAAACUGGAUGUGUCAAUAAGGCUGAAAAUGGGUCAUUGAAAGUUAUCAGAGGCUCAAUAGUCAUAAUGAAAAGUUCCAAGCAAAAUGGUUUGUAUGUGUUGAAUGGACAUACAACUGUUGGAGAGGCAAGUGUCACUGAGAAGAGUGAAGACAAAGCAAGACUAUGGCACUUGAGGUUGGGGCAUAUGAGUGAAAGGGGAUUGAAGGAGCUUCAAAAGAAUGGGGUGUUUGGAAGUGACAAGCUAAGUUCUUUGGGGUUCUGUGAAGACUGUAUCCUAGGGAAGGCUUCCAAUCUCAAGUUUGAAUCUGCAGUUCAUUCUACCAAAGAGAAGCUUGCAUAUAUACACUCUGAUAUGUGGGGGCCUGCACAGGUAAAUUCUCUUGGUGGCUUUAAGUAUUUCUUAUCCUUAAUAGAUGACUAUUCAAGGAUGGUUUGGGUGUAUGUACUCAAAACCAAAGAUGAAGCUUUGGAAAAGUUUUAGAGGUGGAAAAUUCUGGUAGAAACACAGACAAGUUUGAAAGUAAAAGCUCUAAGAACAGAUAAUGAAUUGGAAUUCUGCAACAAAGAGUUUGGAGACUUUUGUAAAAGACAUGAGAUUAUGAGGCACAAAACAGUCAUACACACACCUCAGCAAAAUGGUUUUGCUGAGAGAAUGAACAGAACCUUAAUGGACAAGGUGAGGUGUAUACUGCUAUACUCAAAGCUGCCUAAGUCACUCUGGGCAGAGGCCUUAAACACAGCAUGUUACUUGGUAAAUAUAAGUCCAUCUACAGCAAUAGAAUGCAAAACACCUAUCGAGCUAUGGUCUGGAAGGGUUGCAGAUUACUUUAAACUGAGAAUCUUUGGAUGUGUUGCUUAUGCAUAUGUCAAACAAGGCAAAUUGGAGCCAAGAGCUUUAAGGUGUAGAUUUCUAGGAUACCCUGAUGGAGUUAAAGGCUAUAGGCUAUGGUGCAUUGAUUUGAAGCCACCAAAAUGCAUUAUCAGCAGGGAUGUAACUUUCAAUGAGUCAGAAAUCUUGAACAAAUCCAAAACCACUUAAUCCAAAGAUCAUAUAUCAGAAACAAGACCUGGGAGUGUUCAGUUUGAGGUGGAGUCCUAUGAACAAGAUAGGACUGAAUCAGAAACUGAAGGAGAUUCAGGAAGGGUUACUGAUGGAUUUGAUGUUGUUCAGGAGUCAGAGCCAGCUGAGAAUGAAGAUAAUUCUUAUCAGUUGGUCAGGGAUAGAAAGAAGAGAGCUGUAAGACCACCUAAGAGGUAUACAAUAGCAGAUUUCAUAGCUUAUACAUUAACAGUUGCACAAGAGGUAAAUGAGGAAGAGCUAAGAACCUAUAAAGAAGCUAUAAACAGCAUGGAUAAGAUGAAAUGGAAGGAGGCUAUGGAUGAGGAAAUUGAAUCACUAAUGAAAAAUGGAACUUGGAAGCUGAUAGUUAGACUAGAAAAAAGGAAGACUGUUAGCUGCAAAUGGAUCUUCAAAGUUAAGGAAGGUAUAUCUGAUGCUGAACCUAGUAGGUUUAAAGCUAGGCUGGUAGCAAGAGGCUUCACACAAAGAGAGGGGAUUGAUUUCCAUGAAAUCUUCUCUCUAGUUGUGAAACAUGCCUCCAUCAGAGUCAUCUUAGCUUUAGUUGCCAUUCAAGACAUGUACCUGGAGCAUAUGGAUGUUAAAACAGCCUUCCUGCAUGGUGAAUUACAAGAAGAAAUUGUAAUGGAACAGCCUGGGGGGUAUGUGGUGUCUAGUAAGGAAAAUCAUGUGUGCUUACUAAAGAAAUAUUUAUAUGGAUUAAAGCAGUCUCCUAGGCAAUGGUACUUGAAGUUUGAUAGUUUUAUGACAAAACAUGCCUACAAGAAAUGCAAUUAUGAUUGUUGCGUGUACUUUAGGGACAUUGGUGAUGGAAAGAUGAUUUAUCUUAUGCUGUAUAUGGAUGACAUGCUUAUAGCAUGUCACAGCAUAGAUGAAAUCAGUCAUUUAAAGAAUCUCUUGAGCAGUGAAUUCGAUAUGAAAGAUCUUGGAGCUGUAAGGAAGAUCUUAGGUAUGGAAAUUAUCAGAGACAGGAGAAGGAAGCUUAUGUUUUUAACCCAACAGAGCUAUGUUAAGAAGGUGUUGCUUAGAUUUGGGAUGCAUGAAUCCAAGUCUGUUCAAACACCUUUGGCAAAUCACUUCAAGCUGUCUGCUGCACAUUGUCCACAAACUGAUGCAGAGCAAGGAAAAAUGGCAAGGAUACCUUACUCCAGUGCAGUUGGGAGCCUCAUGUAUGCCAUGGUUCUCACUAGACAUGAUAUCUCACAUGCUGUGAGUAUAGUGAGUAGAUUCAUGGCAAAUCCAGGUUAUGAGCAUUGGAGGGCAGUCCAGUGGAUAAUGAGGUACCUGAAAGGCACUAUGGAGUUUGGUCUGCUAUAUGGAGGGUUAAAACAGGAAGGGCACAAGCUGGUGGGGUAUGUUGACUCAGACUUCGCUGGAGAUCUUGAUAAAAGGAGGUCUCAGACAUGUUUUAUAUUCACUUUGGGAGGCUGCACUGUGAACUGGAAAGCUACUCUGCAAAGUGUGGUAGCUUUGUCCACAACUGAAGCCGAAUAUACAGCAGCUGCAGAAGCUUUUAAGGAAGUCAUCUGGUUAAAAGGAAUGGUCUCAGAGUUAGGAGCAAAACAAGAAACAGUUGAAGUAUACUGUGAUAGCCAGAGUGCAAUACAUUUGAGUAAAAACCAGACCCAUCAUGAAGGAACAAAACAUAUUGAUGUAAAGCUUCAUUUUGUAAGACUUGAAGUUUCAAAGGGAACUGUGAAGAUGCUCGAGGUUCACACUGAUCAAAAUCCAACCGAUAUGUUGACUAAAGCUGUGCCUUCUGCCAAGCUCAACUUCUGUUUGAGCUUAGCAGGAAUUUGCAGUUUCUGAUCAGCUGCAAAAGAAAGGGAAUAAAGUAUACAGGAGUAGCUAGAGUUCAGAGUUCACACUGAUUAAAAGGUGCAGGCUUUGUCAUCGUCUACACAUGAUUUGGGAAACACAGAGAGUAGAGAAAAAGAUAGAGAGAGAAAGGGGUUAACAAGUUCUUGUUCUCUGUAAAUCGAUUUCUAUUCUUGUAAAGUUUGUGAUCUCAAUUAGUGAAAGAUUGUUGCUUUGUUUCCAGUGGAUGUAGGCACCACUUCUUGGUGCUGAACCACUUAUGCUUGGUGUCAUAUUGUUUCUUUAAUGCUUUGAUUCUUGCGUGUGAUUGUUGCUGGAUAAUCUGUGCUGUUAAUUCUCAAACCAUUGAUACAGAAUUAAUGUCUUGGGGAGAAUUUGGUUAGUCUUAUCAAAGCCGAAUUCACAACAAAAACUGUAAUGGUAUAUCUUGAAUUAUUGGUAGAAUAGUUCUUUGGAGCAAUAAAAACAGAUAAGACAGAUGAGAAAAUUGUCAAUACCCCACCGCAAAAGCAAAAGAAAACAAGGAAAGGAGACAAAAGAGGAAGAAGAAAAAGAAAAAAGAACGAAGAAAAAAAUGGUGCCGUGCGGUAUAGGCAAGAAGAAAAAAUAAUAAAAAAUAAUAAAAUAAUAGUGCACAACAAUCAUUUGAUUGCUAUAAAUAAAAGGCGUUUCCCUCAUUUUAUUCAUCGAAUUCUUCAGUUCCUUUCAAGCGAUUUAAGAGUCUAGUGAUUUGAGAGUUUGGGUGUAGUAUGAUUUUGGGUAGUGAGCUAAAAUACUACAAUACUUGUAACUCAUUUUUAUUAGUAAAAUAUUUUCCUUCUGACUUCGCCCGUGGACGUAUGCUAAAAGCCGAAUCACGUAAUUUCUGGUGUCCCUAUGUGAUUAUGUGUCUCAUUAUUUCUUAAUUUCACUUUAGUUGCGUGUCUGCGACACCCCUCAAUUUAUUAACAAAAAAUGGCCAAAAUUAUAUAAGUGACCCAAAUUUUUUUGUUAUUUCCAAGAAAUCCCCAAUCUGAAUGGGCUAGACCAGAGGGAGGCAAGUUAGAAAUACAUUUCCUUCAUAGACAAUAACAGUGAUGAGUCGAUGACAUCAAGCCACGUCGGUAUCAAUAUUGAAUUAAAGGUGCAAUUAUUCAGCCAAUGAACCUUACACAUCAAGAUAAAAGUCAAGAAAAUGAAAAUUUAUCCCAAUUAAAACACUUUCUGGCUGCAUUUAGUUGUUUCCAUUAGAAGUUAAAAACAACGUUUCUUUCGUUUUGUGGGCAACUCAACUGAGUUAGCUGGCUUCUAGUGCUAGUAUGUGAAAAUAGAAGGCUAAUGAUUUAUUUAUUAUCUUUUGACAAAAUUAUUAAAGAUAUAAUAGAUUUUCUAUGAUACAAGUGAAAAAUCACAUCAACAUAGCUUUCAAUCUACAGCAGCUAGCGUUUACCAAACACUUUGUUGUAGCUUUUAAGCUAUAGCUGCCCAACCUCAAUCUCAAACGCACCCUUAAUAGGUUGAUUGAAUUUGUGAGAUAUGGAUUCCACAUAUCUCAUGACCUAGUAAUUAUACAAGUGGUUCGUGAUCAAGACACAACAUUUGCUUCCGGCCUAGUGACCCAGCAAUCGCUGCACUGGUCGCCACCUAUGGUGCCGACGAUAUUGCAUGGUCCAAUUGUGGCCUUGAAUGGAAAAAGUUGAGCAAAUUAUUUGUGGACACGAUGAUAAGUAACGCAAGCCUUGAUGCUAGUUAUGGUCAAAGAAAACAAGAGGUUAAGAAUACUAUCAGAGAUAUUCAUAACAACAAAAAGGAAAAAAAAAAGGCAUUUGCAAGCCCAUUGAUAUUGGUGAAUUGUCGAUUUCAACUUUGGCAUGUGUAAUCCAGAACCUGCGCGCUGUGGUAUGGCGCUGGCACGCUUGCAUUAACGAGGGGACAAGUCUUGGGGCUGAGCUAACAUUUAAGCUCGCAGAACUCAUGGUGCUAAUGGGAACACCAAAUAUUUUUUUGACAUAUUUUGGUGCUUUCAUGGUUUAAUUCAAGGUAUAGAAAGGAGUGUUGAGAAUGUCAAAUAAAACGGCAUUGAAUGGAAGUUGUCAAAGACACGAUCCGCACCGAACGGCAACGACACGGUUGCUAAAAAUCCUUCCAUAAUAUGCAUAUCUAAUUUUUUAAAAAGUGUAACCUCUGCAUUUAUAAAUAUACUCAAUGUAUAAUGUUUUACUUAAGAAAUGAAAAACUUGUUUGUUCAAGGAGAAUAAAGAAAAUUUUUCUAUGAUUUUUUUAUGGUUUGAACAAAGAAGGUUUUAAUGAGUAUUAUAGACCUCGAUUGAAUGUUCGAAUGUAUAAUAAAAGAGAAACUGUCACAUAAAUGACAAAGAUACUUGGAAAAAAAAAAAGGGCAGCAAUAGAGAAUUAGAUUCGACUGCACAAAUAACUAGUUAAUUCAUCAAUACAUCAUUUUCUUGCUAGAAAAUGACAAUUAUGACAGCAAGCCACGAUAGUGUCAAUAUUGAAAUUGAUUUGCAAUUAUUCAGCCAAUGUGCCUUACACGUCAAGAUAAAAGUCAAGAAAAUGAAAGUUAAUAUCAAUUAAAACACUUCCUGGGCCGCAUUUAGCUCCAGUUUUUGUGGUAGGAAAACAAAGUUUUGUUUUAAAUUCACAUGGUGUGCACUUCCUAUAUAAAUCUAGAGUUGUGUCCCACGUUGAACAAUAAAGGAAAGUCACCUAAAUAUACAUGUAGGAUAAGUUACUUUAUUUAGUAAGUUUGUAUUUUCUUCUUUCUUCUAGUUUACAUAUAAAUUUGAUUAGAUAACUUAACACAUAUUUUAAUACUUGAUCAGAAGCCCUACGUACAGGUGGAUCUAGAAACUUGAUUUCUAAGAGUAAUACUAUAAUAAAAAAAUAAUGAUUCAUAGAACCAAUAUCAAAAUUUGUUUACAAGAUUACCCCCACUCAAAGGUAAUUUUCAUAGAAAUUAAUAGGAAAUUUAAUUGUUAGUGGGGUCAAAUUGCCCCCACACUCUGAAUGUAGAUCCACGCCCGACCCUGAGUCAAGUAUAUUUUGCCACAUAUACUCUGAAUGUCGGCAGGAAAAAUCUUCCACUUUAGUUUAAAAUUUUCACUUAAAAUUUAUUUACGUUAAUAAAGUUGGUAAAGGAAAUGAGUUUAAUUAAAGAAUAUUAUAGGAGAAAUUCUAUUGUUUGGCUUUUAAUAAAUUAAUUAAUAGGUUUAAAAAGAUUAAUAUACAUCAAAAUAUUAUUAGUUGGUGGUGGUUCCACAUCGGACUAAGACGUGGCACCUUACUUGUGAGAUUAAGACAAUCAGGCUUAGACUAUUUAAAUAUGUUUGAAGCUUAGAUGGCACCGCUUCAAUUUGCAUUAAUGAAUGUCAUUCUUUACCCUAAUUACUACGUAAUUGAUAACAUGCAAUUGAAAUAACUAAUAUUAGCACUUGGCUAUAAAUGAACUAAAGGCCGUGCAAUUGAAUCUUUACUUGAUCACUUCAUUCCUUUAUUUUGCUAACACAGAUUUUGAGAUAUUAAAACGAAAUAAUAAUUGAAUCUGGCUUUGUGGGUCGAUGAUGCCAGCAACAACGAGACCACAAUUAUCACUUGUUUAUUUGCUGUAUUUGACGUUGUUUCAUAUUGGUAGUAAUAACUAAUAAGGUCGUUGUAGAGUUUUUAAUCUUUUUUUUUAUAUUAAUCACGAGGUAUCCUGGGGAGGGCCCCAACUGUGGGAGGCACCUUUAAGCUCGUACCACAACCCAGACUAGAAGUCCCCGCUCGAACCGGGAGGCACAGUUUUUAAUCUUUUUUAUAUUAAAGUUAAGUCAAUUUGUUAUAAAUAAAUAAAAAAUUGGUUGAGUUUAAUUAUAUUGCUAUGUACAUUAAAUAAUUAUAAUAUUCUCGAGGGAAAAAGACACCUAGAACCUCAAGGUUUGGGGAAAUGGUCACAAAAACUCCUAAGUUUUAAAAAAGGAACACUAAAAUCUUUUUUUACCCAUAAUACCCUUUGACUAUAGUAAUUAGAAAAUUGACUUUAAAGGUUUUUAAAUAAUACAAAUUUAAUAUAAAUCAUAUAAUCUAUCUAGUACACUAAUAAUAUUAAAUUAUUUUUUAUAUUUAAAAUAAUGUUAAAAAAUUUAAAUUAUUAUAUUUAUUUUAAUAAUAUAUUUAUAAAAUUAUAAAGAUUUUAAAUAAAUCUUUGGAUUGAAUAUAUUUUACAAUUAAAAGUCUUCCUAUUAAUAAUAUUAAAAUUAAAUUUUAAGUAAUAUAUAUUCAAAAUAUUUUUAAUUUAAUUUUAUUUAUUUUAAUAUUAUGUUUCUAUCUAUUAUUAAAAAUUACUUUAAUAUAAUAAAAUAGGUCUAAUAGAUUGAAAAAUAUGAAAAUAUUUUUAAAAUUUUAAAUUAUUUUGAAAUGUAUAUAUUAUUACAUUUAUUUCAAUGUCAUAUUUCCAUUUAUUAUAAAAUUUUGGGGUUAUUUUUUUGGGAAUUUAUAGAGUCAAAGAGCAUUAUGGUUAAAAAAGAGUCUUGGUGUCCCUUAUUGAAAACUUUAGAGUUUUUGUGACCAUUUUCCUAAAUCUUGGGGGUGUUGAAGUGGCACUUAUUGUAAGAUUGAUUUUAAAAUAUGUAAAAUUAAUUUUAUUACAUUACCAUAUGCUACAUCACCUGAAACUUAAUAAAUGGAACGUAGCAUUACUCCACGUUCACCGUUAUGACCUUAUGACAUUAGAAUUAAAAUCUUUCGUACGUUUAAAUUGUUUACUUCCAAAUUAAUCUUUCGUAAAUAUUUUGUACAGAUCUUAUCGGAGUUAGCGUGUUCAUUACAGUGUUUCUUUUCUUUUAUCCUUUCUUUUGAAACGUAUUUCCUGUGGACAAGGAAAGCAAAUAAUACCCUGCCACCAGGACCUCGCGGCUUGCCUGUAAUCGGAUACCUUCCAUUUCUCGGAAUUACUGACUUACACAAGACAUUCACGGAAUUAGCUGGUCUAUAUGGCCCGAUCUUCAAACUCUGGCUUGGCAACAAAUUGUGUGUAGUGGUUAGCUCGCCUUCAACUAGUUCUAUAAGAAUAUCCCUUUUAAGGGAUUCUCUCUCUGCAAAAUUUUUUUAUCUUCUGGUGCAUAAUAAAAACUUAUGCCACUUCAUUAACCACAGAUAUCUUUUGAGGAAACGAUGUUUCGUUUUCUUUUGUUUUUUCCUUCCUAAUCCUCGCAUAUCGUGUGAAGGCUAAUAUAUCCAAGAAUCUAAAUCUCUGUAAAUCUUUUUCUAUCCAAAUCUACAUAAUAAUUUAAUCCAUGCACAAUAUCUAUAAUUAUAUCGGCUGUCGGCUGAUUUCGUGGAGGGGGCGGCAGUUCAAAUUUUUUACGUGCAUGUUGGAUGGACGUCUCUAUUAAAGGAGAGCCACCACUUGCAUGGUAAUUUUUUUAAAUAAAUAUAUACAUUUCAAAAUAUUAUUUCAUUGUUGUAUAGUUAACAUGUCACCUUAGAUGUAUUUUAGAACUUCUCCUAUUAAAGAUAAUCUCAUGCAGUGAUACUUCUCGUGAUCUAAUCAUUAGUAGAAUCUAUAAUUUCGCUACUGUAAUAAAAUCUGUCCCUACCCUAUAUGAAUGUAGAUAUUUGACGCGAUUUGUAAUUGCUUCCGACAGGAAAACAGCAAUAGUUUAAUUGAAAUUUGUGGUAUGGAUUCCACGAAUCUUAUGACAGAAUACUGACCACUCCAACCCUAUCCACAUUUACACGAUUAAAACACAAGCUUAGAUGUGACAAUGCAUUUGUCACUUUUGUUCAAAUUCAUCCUGAAACACUAUACACUAAAUAAUCGAAUAUGGCUUCGUGGGUCGAUGAUGCUAGCAGCAACGAGACUGCAAUUAUCACUUGUUUUGUUGCUGUACUUGUCGUGGUCUAUUUCGCAUGGAAUGUAAACAAAUCAAGUAAAGCAAAUGCUAAAUUGCCACCAGGAUCUCGGGGCUUGCCAGUAGUCGGAUACCUCCCAUUUCUUGGAACUACUGACUUACACAAGACAUUCACGGAGUUAGCUGGAGUUUAUGGUCCGAUCUUCAAGAUUUGGCUUGGGAAUAAAUUGUGUGUAGUGGUGAGCUCGCCUACCCUAGUUAAACAAGUGGUCCGUGAUCAAGAUAUAACAUUCUCAAACCGCGACCCACCGAUCGCUGGAACUGUGACCACCUACGGUGGCAAUGAUAUUGCACUUUCCAAUUAUGGUCCCGAAUGGAAAAAGUUGCGAAAAUUAUUUGUGAGCAAGAUGAUGAGUAAUGCAACCCUUGAUGCUUGUUAUGCUCUAAGAAAACAAGAGGUUAAAAAUACUAUCAGGGAUUUGUACAACAACAAUAAGGAUAAUAUUGGCAGUGGCAAUGGCAAGCCCAUUGACGUUGGUGAAUUGUCGAUUUCAACUUUGGUACGUGUUAUGCAGAACAUGCUGUGGGGUCAAGCAUUGGAAACAAGAGAGAAAGAGAUUACUAAUCUCGGGGCUAAUCUUGCAGAACUCAUGGUGCUACUGGGAACACCAAAUAUUUCGGAUAUUUUUCCAGUGCUUUCAUUGCUUGACAUGCAAGGUAUAGAGAGAAGAGCUAAGAAGAUUUCUCUAUGGUUUGAAAACAUUAUCAAUUCUGGUGUUGAACAGUAUAGAAACAAGUUUUCUGUUGUUAAAGGUGAAGAAGCUGCAGCAGGAAAAAAUAUUGAACGAUCAAGAAAUAAGGACUUCUUGCAGUUACUGUUGGAGCUUCAGGAAAAUGAAGAUAGUGCUUCAUCUAUUAGCAUGAACCAACUAAAGGCCGUGCUCGUGGUAUGUUAAGCAACUAGACACAAAAAGUUGUAAAAGCACAGUGAUAUAUUUGCGCGAGGCCGCGAGUGAUGUUUUGCCUCGAGAACUCUCAAUUUUAUCUUACGGUAAAAAAUGUUUUUCAACUUUUUUUAAUUAGAAUUUUAUUGCAAUUUAUUUAACAGGACAUAAUUGUGGCCGGAACCGACACCACAACUACGAUGGUGGAAUGGACAAUGGCAGAGUUGAUGCAACAUCCACAAGUAAUGAAGAAAGUUCAAGAAGAAUUAGCUCAAGUUGUGGGCAUGGACAGUUGUGUUGAAGAAUAUCACUUGCCUAAAUUAAAUUAUUUAGAUGCUGUGGUGAAAGAAACAUUUCGUUUGCAUCCUGCGUUGCCCUUAUUGGUACCUCGCACGGCAAGCGAGAACAGCAAUAUUGGUGGCUAUACCAUUCCCAACGACACUAAUUUUAUGUUGAAUGUUUGGGCUAUUCACAGGGAUCCUCAACUUUGGGAUAAUCCCUUAGAUUUUCGACCUGAGAGGUUCUUGAAUGAUGAUAUCAUAAGCAAAUUCAAUUACUCGGGUAACAAUUUUCAGUACUUGCCAUUUGGUUCUGGUAGAAGGAUGUGCGCUGGCAUUCCUCUAGCUGAGAGGAUGUUGAUGCUUGUUCUGGCUUCGUUGUUGCACUUGUUUGAGUGGAAAUUGCCCCCGGGCACAAAGCUAGACUUAGCUGAAAAGUAUGGGAUUGUCAUGCGGAAAAAAGAGCCUCUGAUUGCUAUUCCAACACCAAGGCUACCAAAUUCAGAUCUCUACCAGUAAGAUCAAAAUGGUUGUGAUGAUAUUAUUUCCCAUUGUAUUGGAAUAUUUUUGUGUGAUUUGAAGUUCAAUCAUAAUAAAAUAUUUUAAUAAAAUGUCCUCGGUUGCUAAUUUUUCAAUAGUAUACUCUAUCAUCGUUUCUAACUGUCUUUUAGAGCCAUUUGGUCUAAUUUAUUUUUGAAUUAAAAUCCAUAAAUAUUUAAAUUUUUGAAUCAUAUUAAGAAUUAUCUGGAGUGUAUGGUCUGAUCUUCAAGUUCUGGCUUGUAAACAAAUUAGAGUUCUGAUAUUUGCCCCGGGUCAAACCCCGAAAUUAAAUAAAACGGCGUCGUUUUGUUUUUUUUUUUUUUUUUUUCUUUUUUACUUCUUCCAAACGUUGCCAUUUCACUUGUCAUUUGCAAGUGACUCCAUUGAUCCUUAGUUGAAACAGAGUUACACCGUAAAUCUCUUCCUCUUCGUUUCUUCGUUUCACCAGGGAACGAGACAGAUAAAAUCCAGCCAUUCUUCGACAUAACAAGAUAUCGAUUAGAAUCCAACGACAUAACUAUAAACCAUGACAUUGCGCUUGAUUUUGCGAAAUACCGAUUAAGAACCAGUAACUUUGAAUCCAAUGACCGUUAAGAGUUUGAAAUUGGUUUCAAAUGACUAAUGAGUUAUCAGAUUUCUUUGCGUCUACAUUUUCCUUGAAGGUUUCUCAGCAGCCAAACAAAUACAAAGCAAAUUGCAGAAGAAACACAUUUUGUUCCAAUGAAAAAUGUACGGAAACAUUUUAAAUAUGGAAAAUUACCUCAAAAUGAAGGCUCGCAAGAGAUUCGAGCAACAAAUUAGAUCAAAGGAACCGGCGCUGAGCAAGAAAGUGAGCUCAAAGAUUCCGAAACACAAACGUAAAUUCACAAAAAUGCAAAUCUAUGAUGAACGCCAAGAUCAAAAUUUUCGAAGAAAGGGAGCUGAAAAAAUAAAUGAAACGUCAAACUAGAUGACAAUGGAUUUGCUUCUUCAAAGGAGACAAUGAAAUUGUUACUAGAGACAGCUAGAGAAAUAGAGAGAGAGAGAGAGAGAGCUUGAAUUGGCUGUACCCCCACCAGAAAGUGGGUAGUGCCUUUUCCACUUGGACUUGAUAUGCGAAUCUGAAAAAAUCUGAACGAAGGACUGACUCAUCCCAGCUCGAAAGCAAACCAAGCUAGGACUGACUGAAAACGUUGCCGUUUGGAGAAGUUAAAAAAAAAAACUAAACAAAACGACGCCGUUUUGUUUAGUUUCGGGGUUUGACCCGGAAUUUGACCCGGGGCAAACAUCAUUUUCCAACAAAUUAUGCAUGGUCGUGUACACGCUUUCCCUAAUUAAGCAUGAGGUUCGUGAUCAAGGCACAACAUUCACUCCCUGCGACCCAACAAUCGCUACAUUGUUUGCCACCUAUAGUGCCAACGAUUUUGCACGGUCCAAUUAUGGUCCCCAAUCGAAAACGUUGCGCAAAUGUUUUCUGGGCAAGAUGAUAAGUAACGCAAGCCUUGAUGCUUGUUAUGGUCUAAGAAAACAAGAGGUUAAUAUAUAUAUAUAUAUAUAUAUAUAUAUAUAUAUAUAUAUAUAUAAAUUGGCAUUGUCAACUUUUGUAUGUUUUAUUCAGAACCCGCUGUGGGUUGACGCUAGCAUGCUUGCGUUAGGAGACGAGGGGACCAAUCUUGGGGCUGAGCUAAAAUAUAAGCUUGUAGAGAUCAUCUUGCUAAUGGUAAUGUUUUCCGAUGCUGGUUUAAUUCAUGGUAUAAAAAGGAGAACAAAAAAGAUUUUUCUAUGCUUUGAAAAUAUUAUAAUUUUUAUUUUAUAAUUUUUAAUAAAAUCUCUCAUUGAUAGCCAAACAAUUAAAAUUUUUGUAAAGCUUUUGUGGACUUUUGAUCGCGUAUGGUGCCAAUGUAUUGCGUGGUCCUAUUAUGGUUCCAAAUGGAGAAAGUUGCACAAGUUUUUUGAGUACCAGAAGAUCAGUAAUGUAAGCCUUGAUGGUUGUUAUGGUCUAAGAAAACAAGAGGCUAAAAAUUCUAUCUGGGAUUUUUAUAACAACAACAAAAUUGGCAAGCCCAUUGACAUUGGUGAAUUGUCAGUUUCAACCUUGGUAAGUGCGAUUCAGAACAUGCUGUGGGGUGAAACGCUUGAAAUAACAAAGAAAUGGAUUUACUAAUAUUGGGGCUGGGCUAAGAUUUAAGCUUGCAGAACUCACGGUGCUAGAGGGAACACCGAAUAUUUUGGAUAUCUUUCCAGUGCUUUCAUGGUUUAAUAUACAAGGUUUUCAGAGAAUAGCAAAGAAGAUUUCUCUAUGGUUUUAAAAUAUUAUCAAUUCUACUGCUGAACGCUAUAGAAACAACGUCUCUAUUGUCAAAAGUGAAGAAGCAGCAGCAGCAGGGAACAAUAUUGAAGGAAGGAAUAAGGACUUGGUGCAGUUACGCUUGGAGCUUCAAGGUAAAGAAGACAAUGCUUCAUCAAUUAGCAGGACGCAAUUUAAGAGCUUGCUCGUGGUAUGUUGCGCAACUAGCCACAGACAGUUACAGAAACUGAGUUUGGCAGAUUACGACCGUUUCUGGUGAUUACAUAAUUAUUUGUGGCUGUUUUUUUUUUUUAAUUGUAAUUUUCUUAACAGGAUAUAAUUUAGGGUGGAACCAACACCACAACUAUAAUGGUGGAAUGGACAAUGGCAUAAUUGAUACAGCAUCCACAAGUAAUAGAGAAUGUACAGGUAGAACUAAAUCGGGCCGUGGCCAUCGACAGCCAUGUUGAAGAAUUUCACCUAGCUAAGUUAAAAUAUUUAGAUGCUGUGGUGAAAGAAACAUUCUGCACUGUAAUAUAAUACAUGAAUCAUAUGUCCUCUAUUGUUUUUUUAUUUUUCUCUUUUUUUCAAUAGCUUAAUCUAUCAUUAAAAUCUUCUGAAAUUCUAAAUUAAUAUACAUUCAACCUAGAGUUCAAGCCAAAGUUUUAUUGAGCAUUAAAAAAAAAAAAAAUUCUACGACUCAAAAUUUUGUGGAGUAUAAAUUAAAAAUUAUGCGCCUACUAAGAGACAAAAAAUAAAUGAUACACAUUAACCAAUCAAAGGCGAACAAGAGAUUAUUAACAAUAACCUAAUAAUAAAAUUAUAAUGAAUAAAAAAGAAAUGGUACCUAGAAACACAUCACAGCCAUUUAAGCAAUCACUUACCCACAAAAUCCAAACAUAUAAACUAUGUGGGGGGGGGGGGGGGGGGGGGGGGUGUCAUGAUACCUUUGGGUUUCAUGAUAAUCAAAAUUGCAAUACCAUUAAAGACUCAAAAAUAAAAAAAAUCAUAGCCAAUAAAAGAGAAAAAAUAACCCACAAAAAAUCAUCAAGAAAAUAAAUUUGAGACUAAGAGAAGAUAUUAAUUAAACCCUGGGUUGCCUUGGAACCACGGCUUUGGCUUCCAUUUUUCAAUUCUUGGCGACAAGUCAUUUCUUGUUUGUUUACAAAGAUGACGGCUGAUUAAUGAAGCUCUAUUAACAAUGAAUAAAUAAAAAAACUGGCGCCUUGAAAAGACUAACGGUCAUAUUUUUCAACUCCGAAUUAGUGCCGUUUGAUGAGUCCUUGCCAAAACAAUCACUAGGCAAAUAACAAUCAUUUUUCAACCAGCAAAACUCAUUCAUUGUAUUUCACCUUAGUCAAGAUUUAAAAAUUGUUUCAAAAUAAACCUAGUGGUUAGAACCCAAGCGUCACAAUUGUGAGGUCAUGGGUUUGAGCCCCCACAACGUAUUGUGGGGGUUAAUUUUCUUCUUCAAUUUGAGUGAAAACAGUUCUCUCCCUUUCGAAAUGUGGGUGGAGUGGACGUCCCUCAAAUAUUAGAGAGGGUUCAAAUUUGGAUUGUACUAUAUAAGAUUUAUAAAUUAGUCCCAGUAAUUAUCUGAUUGUAAAUAUCAAUAUACUAAUCUAAUUAAAUAUGAGUUGUAAUAUGAGCGUUAGUCUCAUGUAAUUAAAAAAAAAAUGUUUCAAAAUAGGAUUCUUAAAAGGUUGGGGAAAUGGCCAUCAAUAUCCCCAACUUUCCAAAAAGAGACACCAAGACCCAUUUUGACCAUAAUACCCUUUACUUCUAUUAUCCCCAAAAAAUUGACUCUAAUGUUUUAUAAUAAAUAAAAAUAUAACAUUAAAAUAAAUGUAAUAGUAUAUACAUUUUAAAAUAGUUUCAAUAUCUAAAAACCAUUUUAAUAUUUUAAAUCCUAUUAUAUAUAUAUUAAAGUAAAUUUUAUAAUAAAUAGAAUCAUAAUAUUGAAAUAAAUGCAUUAAAAUUUAAAUUAUUUUUAAUAUUAUGUAAAAUAAUAAUUUUAUCAUUAUAAGUAUAUGAGAAUUUUUUUAAUUGUAGAAUGUAUUUAAUGCAAAUAUUUAUUUAAAAUCUCUACAAUAAAUAAAAAUAUACUAUUAAAACAAAUCUCUACAAUAUAUACAUACAUACAUAUACAUUGGCCUGGUAUUUUAUUUUUCAUUUUUUAAACUUAUUAAAUCCUCUAACUAUCAUUUGAUUAUUUUUUUCAAUGAUGAAGAGGCCAUUGCCGGAUAAAUUAUUAAAAUCAACUAGUUCUACAAGAAUGUCCCUUUUUAAAGGAAGAUGAUUCUCUCUCUCGAAAUUUUUUAUCUUGUGCUACAAACUAAAAACUUAUGCCAUUUCAUUAACCACAGAGAUCUUUGAGGAAAUGAUGCUUCGCCCCCCCCCCCCCCCCCCCCCCCCCCCCCCCCCCCCCGCGGCGCCAAAAAGUGUCCUUCCAUAUUUUGUGAAGGCUAAUACAUCGAUGAAUCUAGAUUUCUUUAAAUUUUUUGUUUUACUCAAUUCGAGAUAAUAAAUAGUUUAUCUUUAUUAAAUCUUUACUUUAACAAUGAUAGAUAUUCAAUCCAUGCAAAUAUCUAUCAUUGUAUGAGCUGAUUGCGUGGAGGGAGCGGUAAUUGAAAUCUAAUUGAAAACAGCAGAAGGCUGUUCUUGACAGAUCUCAAAUAUAUUACGGACACGUUGGGAGACAUCUCUAUCAUAGAUAUCCCCAUGCAGUGAUAUUUGUCGUGAUCUAAUUUUUAGUAAAUCUGUAAGAGAGAUUGUAACAUCUUUCAAGUUUUUUGGUUUGAUAUUCUAGACGAAAACGGUUUGUCGUUUCUUGAGCAAACGGCUAACCGUUUAAGUCCAGAGAGCAUGUUUGUUGUUCUGGAUAAAACGGCUCACCGUUGUUGCGAAAACGGCUAACCGUUUAACUCAAGAGAGCAUGUUUUAUGUUCUAGAGAAAACGGCUCACCGUUAUUGAGAAAACGGCUAACCGUUUAUUUACAGAGAGCAACGUAUUUGAUAUUCUGGAAUAAAAUGGCUCACCAUUUAUUGAGAAAACGGCUAACUGUUUAUUUCCAGAAAGGCGUCAAUUAGAAAAACGGUUAGCAAGAAUGAAAAUUUCAAUUGACAAUCGAUGCAAAUUCAAACCAAAAGAGUGUCUUCGAAAAAGUACCAUUUCUAAUGGUUGUAUUCUUUCAAAUAAACAUCUUCUUCAUUAAAGAAAUACACACAAUUAGAUUGAUAAUCAGAUUUUGACAGGUUUCUUAUAUGUUCUGGAAAUACAAUCUUAUUUGCUAGAGAUUGUAUUCAGGAUUUGUUAUAUCUUGGGGGUAAUUUGCCAUUAAAACUAUAUAGCAAACCAAGAUUGGUGAGGGCAAAUAAAACCUUAAAGGAAAGUAUGCAAACACGUCUCAAAUCCUAUGAAACUUUCUUUGUUCUUUGCCUCCAUAUUCUUAUUAUUCACUAACAAAAUCCCCAUGCAGUGAUAUUUGUCGUGAUCUAAUUAUUAGAAAAAUCUAUGAUUUCGCUACUGUAAUAAAAUUUGUCACUACUCUACAUUAAUCUAAAUGUCUGAUGAGAUUUGUAAUUGCUUCCGACGGGAAAACAGUUAAUAGGUUGAUUGAAUGUAUGUGGUAAAGAUUCCACGUAUCUCACGACAGAAUGCUGACCACUGGAACCCUAUCUACUUUUACGCGAUUAAUUCACGAGCUUAGGCACGACAAUUGCAAUACAAAUUAUCCCUUCAUCAUAUAUUUCGUUAAAAUUCAUUCUGAAGCACUAAAACUAAACAAUCGAAUAUGGCUUUGAGGGUCGAUGAUGCCAGCAGCAAUGAGAGUGCAAUUAUCACUUGUUUAGUUUCUGUGCUUGCCGUGGCUUAUUUAGCAUGGAAUGUGAAAAAAUCAAGGAAAGCAAAUGCUAAACUGCCACCAGGACCUCGCGGCUUGCCUGUAGUCGGAUACCUCCCAUUUCUCGGGACUACUGACUUGCACAAGAAAUUCACGGAAUUUAUUUUACUAUUAUAUUUAUAUUCAAAAUAAUUUUAAUUAGCUUUUAAAAUGAAUGAUUUUAGGAAAUUAUAAAUAAAGGUAACUAAGAAUUCUCUUAAUGUAAUAUAUUAUUAAUUAGUUUAAAAAUACAAAUUUAUUAAUUAGAGAAAUUAUUAGUGAAUUUAAAUUAAUGAUCUUAAUGAUUUGUUUGUACGAUUGCCCCCAAUCAAAGGUAAUUUUCCUAAAAAUUAUUAGGAAAUUAGAGAAAUUUAAUUUUUUUAGUGGGUUCAAUUGCCCACACACCCCGACUGAAGCAUUUUUUACAAUAUGUACUCCGUUUGUCGGCAGGAAAAUAAAGGUCUUGACACAUGAUCACUUCACUCCUUUAUUUACUUUGCUAACGCAGAUUUUGAGGUAUUAAAACAAAUAAUAAUUGAAUAUGACUUUGUGGGUCGACGACGCCAGCAACGAGGAGACCGCCAAUUAUCACAUUUUAAGUUUGCUGUAAUUGCCGUUGUUUUAUAUUAGUAGAAUAUUAGUGAUAAGAUAAUUGUAGAGUUUUCAUUUUUUUAAUAUUAAAAUCAAGUCAAUUUAUUAUAAUAAAUUUAGUUGAAUUUAAUCGUAUUACCACAUAAAUUGAAUAAUAAUAGAAUUCUCGACAAUAUUUCAAUAUUUUAAUCUCAAGCAUUGGAGUGGCAUUUAUUUGUUAUACGGUCGAUUUUAGAAUUUAUAAAAUUAUUCGUUGCUGAAUUGCACCAUAUGCUGCAUAACCUGAAACUUAAUAAACGGAACGUAGCGUUGGCACCGUUACUCAACAUUCACUGUUACGACUUUGUGACAUUAGAAUUAAAAUCUUUUCCACAUUUAAUUUGUUUACUUCCAACUUAAUAUUUAACAAAAUGUAUGUUAGCAUUGUAUGCCAUAUCAUCUGUAAUUUUGUCAGGAUCGAUCAUUCUAAUUUUUAAGCAGAACUUUUUGUCAAUGGACAAACACCUCAUACAGCUUGUCAGAGGCAUUAGUAUGAUGUAAAAUUGUAAUGGUAUAUCUUGAAUUAUUUUAGAAUAGUGAAUAACUAUUUGGAGCAAUAAAAACAAAUAAGACAGAUGAGAAAAUGGCUAAAAUUAUAUAAGUGACCCAAAAUUUUUUGCUAUUUCCAAGAAAUCCCCAAUCUGAAUGGACCAGAGGGAGGCAAGUUAGAAAUACAUUUCCUUCAUAGACAAUAACAACGAUGAGUGGAUGACAUCAAACCACGUUGGUAUCAAUAUUGAAAUAAAGGUGCAAUUAUUCAGCCAAUGAGCCUUAGUACACAUCAAGAUAUAUAAAAGUCAAGAAAAUGAAAAUUUAUCCCAAUUAAAACUCUUUCUGGCUGCAUUUAGCUGUUUCUGUUUAGGGAUGGCAAUUUAAUCCGGACCCAGCCCGACCCGGAUGAAUCCAGAAAAUUCGGGGUGGAUUCAACCCGUACCGGAGUGAAUAAAAUCUGAUAUUCAAAUUCAAUAUUUUCAACCCGGACGUUUCCGAGUCCGGAUCCGGAUUUGGGUAAACCCGCAUAUCCGGAACCCGGAUCCGGAUAACUAUUUUAAUAUUAAUUUUUAAAUCAUUUUAAAAUAAAAAAAAAUUAGAAAAAAUCAGCCCUAAUGCCCUUCCACAGCCACGGCAGCCAAACCAAACCCAGACAUUUCCUCUCUCUCUCUUUAGCCCUUCUUUUCAACAAAUCAUCAUCGUUGCUCAUCAUCGUUUCGUCGUGUUCAUCUUCAUCUUCAUCAUCAGCUGCCGUUUGUCCAGCUAUGUCACUAGUUUUGGCCGCCGUUUCCGUUUGUGCACCUUCGCAAAUCGGGAUCUCGAUUUGGCCGCCAACACUUCUACCCCCUGGUGUUUUGCUUUGUCCUCGACAACUUCUUUGUUGAUAAAUUGACGGGCACUUAUGAAUGCAUUUGUCUCUGUUUCUUCAUUUACACCUUCCCAGUUGUUUGUUCAUUUGCUUUUUGGAAGGAAAAAAAAAAAAAAUCAGCCACCAUUUAUCCUUCCCCUUUUCUUGACCUAACCCCACAAAGCCCAAUUUGUCAUCAUCAUUCAUUGGCAAAUUUGUUAUCAUCAUGGUUGAGACAUCAUGAUUAUCUUUGAUAAUUGAAUUUGUGUAAUAUGUUACCUUGGAUUUUAUUUCUAAGUAUUUGAUUUUGAAUUAUUUUCCAUUAUUGGUGUUAAUAGAUAGAAGAUUAGAAAGGAAUUCUUCACUGAAUAAAGAGAUGGGAAAUUGCAUCUUUUAGCAAUCAUCCGGGUUAUAAACCCGGAAUCCGGAAACCAGGAUUUUUCCGGGUUUAACCCAGUCCGGACCCGAAUGAAAAAUAUCCGGGUUUACAUCCGGGUCUGGUAUUAAAAUUUAUCGUCCGGAUCCGGAACAGGGAAGACAAAACCCGGACCCGAACCCACAUUUUGCCAUCCCUAUUUCCAUUUGAAGUUAACAACAACGUUUCUUUCGUUUUGUGGGCGACUUGACUGAGCCAGCUGGAUUCUAGUGCUAGUAUGUGAAAAUAGAAGGCUAAUGAUUUCACGUUCACUAGCCCACCUCCCCUCCUCUCGUUUCCUCUGAAUCAAUUUUCACGUGUGGUACCGAUUGAAAAUAUCUCUGACAUUUCGUGGACAUCUCUAUUGAAAAUAUCUCAGACAUUUCACUCAGGCAAACUUAUUAAUAUAAAAAAUCUAUGAUUUUUUCGUCUUAUACUGUAGAAAAAUUUGUCUAUACAUUAAUCUAGAUGUUUGAGGUGGUUUAUACAUCUGUGGUAUAGAUUUAUAGGUUGAUUGAUACGUCUGUGGUAUAGAUUUUAUGUAUUUCAUUAUCAAAUGCUGGCCUUUGGGACCCUAUCUACAUCUAUUUAUAAAACUAACGGGUGCCAGUUAUGCCAUUACAAAUUAUCCCCUCUUCAUACAUUUCCUUAAAAUUCUUCUGAAACACCAAAACUAAAUAAUCGAAUAUGGCUUUGCGGGUCGAUGAUGCCAGCAACAAUGAGGCUGCAAUUAUCACUUGUUUAGUUUCUAUGCUUGCCGUGGUUUAUUUCGUAUGGAAUGUGAACAAAUCAAGGAAAGCAAAUGCUAAACUGCCACCAGGACCUCGCGGUUUGCCUGUAGUCGGAUACCUCCCAUUUCUCGGAACUACUGACUUGCACAAGAAAUUCACGGAAUUAUCCGGAGUUUAUGGUCCGAUCUUCAAGCUCUGGCUCGGAAAUAAAUUAAGUGUCGUGGUGAGCUCACCUUCCCUAGUUAAACAAGUGGUUCGUGAUCAAGAUACAACAUUCGCAGACCGUGACCCGCCGAUCUCAGGACUAGUGACCUCCUUUGGUGGCAAUGAUAUUACAUGGUCCAAUUACGGUCCCGAAUGGAGAAAGUUGCGCAAAUUUUUUGUGGGCAAGAUGAUGAGUAACGCAAGCCUUGAUGCUUGUUAUGCUUUAAGAAAACAUGAGGUUAAAAAUACUAUCAGGGAUUUGUAUAACAACGGCAACAAAAUUGGUAAGCCCAUUGACAUUGGUGAAUUGUCGAUUUCAACAUUGGUAUGUGCUAUGCAGAACAUGCUGUGGGGUGAAGCGCUUGAAUUAAAAGAGAAAGGGACAACUAAUCUUGGGGUUGAGCUAAAAUUUAAGUUUGCAGAACUCAUGGUGCUACUGGGAACACCGAAUAUUUCGGAUAUCUUUCCAAUGCUUUCUUGGCUCGACAUACAAGGUAUAGAGAGGAGAGCAAAGAAGAUUUCACUCUGGUUUGAAAAAAUUAUAAAUUCUACUGUUGAAAAGUAUAGAAGCAAGGACUUUAAUGUUGAAGGUAAAGAAAGAGCAGGGGAAAAUUUUGAAGGAUCAAGGAACAAGAACUUCUUGCAGUUACUAUUGGAGCUUCAAGAAAAUGAAGACGGUUCUUCCUCAAUUAGCAUGAACCAAUUUAAGGCCGUACUCGUGGUAUGUUAAGAAACUAGCCGCAAACAGUUAUACAAGCACAGCUGUAUAUUUUGCAUGAGUGAUAUUUUCAACCUUUUUUUUUUAUAAUUAGAAUUUUAUUGUAACCUUUUGGACAGGAUAUAAUUACGGCUGGAACCGACACCACAACUACGAUGGUGGAAUGGACAAUGGCAGAGUUGAUGCAGCAUCCACAAAUAAUGAAGAAAGUUCAGGAAGAAUUAGCUCAAGUUGUGGGCAUGGACAGUUGUGUUGAAGAAUUUCAUUUGCCUAAAUUGAAAUAUUUAGAUGCUGUGGUGAAAGAAUCGUCUCGUCUGCAUCCUGCAGUGCCUUUAUUACUACCACGCAGAGCAAGCGAGAGUGGCAGCAUUGGUGGCUAUAACAUUCCCAAAGAUACAACUAUUAUGUUGAAUGUUUGGGCAAUCCACAGGGACCCUAAACUUUGGGAUAAUCCCUUAGAAUUUCGACCCGAGAGGUUUCUAGAUGAUGGUAUCGCGAGUAAGUUCGAUUACUCAGGUAACAAUUUUCAGUACUUGCCAUUUGGUUCUGGUAGAAGGAUGUGUGCUGGGAUUCCUCUAGCUGAGAGGAUGCUGAUGUUUGUUUUGGCUUCGUUAUUGCACUCAUUUGAGUGGGAAUUGCCAGCUGGCACAAAGCUAAACUUAUCUGAAAAAUUUGGGAUUGUCAUUAAGAAAAAAGAGCCUUUAGUUGCUAUUCCAACACCAAGACUAUCCAAUUCAGAGCUCUACCAUUAAGACAGAAUGGUUGUGAUGAUUUUGUUAAUUUCCGAAGAUUUGUAUGUUAUGUCAAGUUCAAUCGUAAUAAAAUAUUUCAAAUAAGAGUCCUCCGUUGCUUUUUUUUUUUUUUUCAACCGCAUAAUCUGUCGUCAUGCUUGUAUUUGGGGCUACUUUGGAAUAAUUAUGUUUGAAUUACAAUAUAUAAAUAUUACAUUUUAAAAUUUUAUGAGAUUCUAAAUUUAUACACGUUCAAUAACCCACUUCAUAUAUGUUUAACACAAUUUAUAUCAUACAUUGUAUACCCAUUUGUCAUAAAUUACGCUAUUUUAUAUCUCUAAAUAAUAUUACAUAUUGAUAUUAUAAAAUGUUGUUAACUCACGUGUGUAUAUAUAUAUAGCAAGUCACGUGCAUAUAUUAUUGGUUGUUAUAUGUUUGCUAGUUUGAUAGGAUUUCCUUUCCUUGUGAACUAGGGUAAUUCUUAUGUACAUAUAAAUAUUGAUCAAUAAGAGUGCAGAUGAUGACUGCAGUUUUGCAUCGUAGAAAUUCUUCGUAAAAUAUAUAUGUUUAUCAAAAGGCUAUACCAUUCAAUAUAUAUUGGAAAGAGAACAAAGAAGAUCUUCUUAUGGUUUGAAAAUAUUAUGAAUUCUGCUGUUGAACAGUAUGGAAACAAGGUCUGUUGUUAAAGGUGAAGAAGUCACAGGGAACAAUAUUGAAGGAAGAAAUUUCACGUUUAGUUGCUGAAUUUGCCGCUGUAUUCUAUCGGUAGUAAAAAGAUUAGAGUUUUUAUUUUUCUCUAUUAAUGUUAAGUCAAUUUUCUAUAACAAAUUCGGUUGAGUUUAAUUGUGUUACAAUAUAAAUUGAAUGAUAGUAGAAUUUUCAACGAAUAAUUCAAUAUUUCUAUCUCGAUUGUUGAAGUGCCAUUUAUUUGUUAUACGAUCGAUUUUAAAAUUUAUAAAAUUAUUUGUUACUAAAUUGCAUCAUAUGCUAAAUCACCUGAAACCUAAUUUCAUAACUAACCCUUUAUUUUUAGUUCUCAAGAAAUCUUGUAAGAACAAAAUUCUUUUGUAACAAAACGUUUACAACAAAUUAAUUUGUAACUCAUUCCUGUGCGAGAAUCACUCUCAAUUUCCUUCAAUUGCUGUUUAACAAUCAUCUGCUUAUCAAAAUUCAAGCAUAAUCUUUUUUUUUAAUUUCUUCAUCAUUCUUUUGAAAAAAAAAAUCAGGAUAUGCUGUUAAAUUUUGAAAUAAAUUAUCUCAAAAUAAUUACUAACCAGAAAAAACAAAGGGGUUUAACUAGGUUAUGCAUACCUUUGAAAAUUAUAUGUUGAUCGAUAAGAAUGAUGAUCACGAUUGACGAGUUUAAUUAAAAUAUAUAAGAUUUUAAAAUUAAUCAGGGUUAAAUUGUGAAUUUUAGAAAGAGAGGUUUUGUGAGAAUGUUGAAAGGGUGUUAAUAGUUCCACUCUUUUUAAAAACAACCAUAGUCAUCAUUUUUCCAUGGUUGUUUUUAAAAAGAGUAUUUCUUCUUCCCAUCUCCAUCUUAUUUAGAAAUUUCCCAGAGCCUUUGUUUCCCACCUUUCAUUUUUCUUCUUUCUAAUUUAAUAAUCCACCCUUCUUGUAUUCAAACUAAAAAAUUAAAAUCUGAAAAUUUAAAACCCAAUAUUAUAGUAUUAUAAAAAUAAUUACUCACAUUUUAUCAAACACCUCCAUUCUUCCAAGGCCUUGUUUUAGUAGUAGGCUUUUAUUAUCUCAAUAAAAUUGAAAAAAAAAAUCUCAAUAAUAUUGGAAAAAAACCCUACCCAUAUUUGUAACUUUAAUUUAUUAUUCUCCAUAGACCUACUUUUUAGUUUUGAAUUUUGUUGGAGCCAUAUAUAAACAGAAUAUGUUGAAAUCAGCACCCAAAAAAAAAAAAACUAAUUAUAUAAUUUAUGUUCCCAAGGACAUGGCUGAGUGAUUUUCAAGAAGUUUUGUUUGGCUGGCCACUUAGGUUUAAAUCUUGGUGGAGAUUAAGGGUUAAGAAAUAAAUUUAGACUUUGCACACCCCUUUAACUUUUAAAAAGAAAUGAAAAAAUUAAUUAAUUAAUCUUUAUUUUAUUUAUUAAAUGUCAUAAUCCUAUGCGUAUUUUAUUUGUUAUCUUUCUAUUUAAAAGACGAGGGCAGAUAAAACUGAAAUAAAUUUUUAGCCCUAUCUCCAUAUUUCAAGUUCCAUAGUUAGGUGACCAGCUAAAAAAAAUUAAUUGAAAGCUACUCCAUCAAAUUAAAAAAAUUUAUUUAUUUAAUUUGUGGAGAUGUAGAAAAUCAAACCCCAUACCUUUUCGCAUACACUGAACAUAUUUUAAUACAUGACUAUCAUCCUUUAUCCUAAAUACUACUAUAACUAAUAACAUACAAUUGAAAUAAUUAAUGUUAACACUUGGCUAUAAAUAAAGGUUUUGUGCUUGAAUCUUCACGCAUGACCUUCAUUCCUUUAUUGACUUUGCUAACACAGAUUUUGAGGCAUUAAAACUAAAUAAUAAUUGACUUUGUGGGCCGAGGAUGCCAGCAACAAGGAGACCACAAUUAUCACUUAAGUUACUCUAAUUGCCGUUGUCUUAUAUUCAUAGAAUAUUAGUAAUAAGAUUAUUGCAGAAUUUUUUUAAUAUUAAAAUUAAGUCAAUUUGUUAUAACAAAUUUAGUUGAGUUUAAUCGUGUUACUACAUAAAUUGAAUAAUAAUAGAAUUCUCGACAAAUAUUUCAAUAUUUUUAUCCCAAGCGUUGGAGUGGCAUUUAUUUGUUAUACGAUCGAUUUUAGAACUUAUAAAAUUAUUCGUUACUGAAUUGCACCAUAUGCUGCAUGACCUGAAACUUAAUAAACGGAAUGUAGCGUUGGCACCGUUACUCAACAUACUGUUACGACUUUGUGACAUUAGAAUUAAAAUCUUUUGCACAUUUAAUUUGUUUACUUCAAAAUUAAUAUUUAACAAAAUAUUUUUUUCACAUUAUCAAUGGACAAAACUCCAACGAAAAUAACUACACAAGAAAAAUGUAUGCUAGUAUUGUGUGCCAUAUCAUCUGUAAUUUUGUCAGGAUCGAACACUCUAAUUUUUAAGCAGAACUUUUUAUCAAUGGACAAACACCUCACACAGCUUGUCAGAGGCAUUAUUAUGAUAGAAAACUGUAAUGGUAUAUCUUGAAUUAUUGGUAGAAUAGUUCUUUGGAGCAAUAAAAAUAGAUAAGACAGAUGAGAAAAUUGUCAAUACCCCACCGCAAAAGCAAAAGAAAAAAAGGAAAGGAGACAAAAGAGGAAGAAGAAAAAAAGGAAAGGAGACAAAAGAGGAAGAAGAAAAAGAAAAAAGAACGAAGAAAAAAAUGGUGCCGCGCUGUAUUGGGAAGAAGAAAAAAAUUAAUAAAAUAAUAAUAAAUAAUAAAUAAUAAAUAAUAAAAUAAUAGUGCACAACAAUCAUUUGAUUGCUAUAAAUAAAGGGGCAUUUUCCUCAUUUUAUUCAUCGAAUUCUUCAGUUCCUUUCAAGCGAUUUAAGAGUCUAGUGAUUUGAGAGUUUGGGAGUAUUGUGAUUUUGAGUACUAAGUUAAAAUACUAUAAUACUUGUAACUCAUUUUCACUAGUAAAAUAUUUUUCUUCUGUCUUCGCCCGUAGACGUAGGCUAAAAGCUGAACCACGUAAUUUCUGGUGUCCCUAUGUGAUUAUGUGUCUCAUUAUUUCUCAAUUUUACUUUAGUUACGUGUCUGCUACACCCUUCAAUUUACUAACAAAAAUGGCCAAAAUUAUAUAAGUGACCCAAAUUUUUUUGCUAUUUCCAAGAAAUCCCCAAUCGGAAUAGACCAAACUAGAGGGAGGCAAGUUAGAAAUACGUUUCCUUCAUAAACAAUAACAGCGAUGAGUCGAUGACAUCGAGCCACGUCGGUAUCAAUAUUGAAUUAAAGGUGCAAUUAUUCAGCCAAUGAGCCUUACACAUCAAGAUAAAAGUCAAGAAAAUGAAAAAUUUAUCCUAAUUAAAACACUUUCUGGCUGCAUUUAGCUGUUUCUAUUUGAAGUUAAAAACAACAUUUCUUUCGUUUUGUGGGCAACUCGACUGAGUUCGCUGGCUUCUAGUGCUAGUAUGUGAAAAUAGAAGGCUAAUGAUUUAUUUGUUAUCUUUUGACAAAAAAUGUUAAAGAUAUAAUAGAUUUUCCAUGAUACAAAUGAAAAAUUAUAUCAACAUAACUUCCAAGCUACAGCAGCUAGUGUUUACCAAACACUUUGCUGUAGCUUUUAAGCUACAGCUGCCCAACCUCAAUAGGUUGAUUGAAUUUGUGGGAUAUAGAUUCCACAUAUCUCAUGACCUAUUAAUUAUACAAGUGGUUCUUGAUCAAGAACAACAUUUGCUUCCGACCCAGUAACCCAGCAACUGCUGCACUGGUCGCCACCUAUGGUGCCGACGAUAUUGCAUGGUCCAAUUAUGGCCUUGAAUGGAAAAAGUUGAGCAAAUUAUUUGUGGGCACGAUGAUAAGUAACGCAAGCCUUGAUGCUAGUUAUGGUCGAAGAAAACAAGAGGUUAAGAAUACUAUCAGAGAUAUGCAUAACAACAAAAAGGAAAAAAAAAAAAAAAGGCAUUGGCAAGUCAAUUGAUAUUGCUGAAUUGUCGAUUUCAACUUUGGCAUGUGUAAUUCAGACAUUGCGCGUUGUGGUAUGGCGCUGGCACGCUUGCAUUGCCGAGAGGACAAAUCUUGGGGCUGGGCUAAAAUUUAGGCUUGUAGAACUCAUGGUGCUAAUGGGAACGCCAAAUUUUUUUAACAUAUUUCGGUGCUUUCAUGGUUUAAUUCAAGGUAUAGAAAGGAGUGUUGAGAAUGUCAAAUAAAACGACAUUGAAUGGAAGUUGUCAAAGACAUGAUCCGCACUGAACGGCAAUGACACGGUUGGUAAAGAUUUUUUCAUAAUAUGCGUAUCUAAUUUUUGAAAAAUUGUAACCUCUGCUUCUAUAAAUAUGCUCAAUGUAUAAUGUUUUACUUAAGAAAUGAAAAACUUAAUUCUUUAUGGUAUCAGAGCGAGGCUCGUUGCUCUGUUUGUAACAAAAACAAAGAAAACUAAAUUCUUCCCACAACUAUUUUUCCACCUUUUUUUCUUCCUUAAAAGCAUUCCUAGCAUUACAGAAACCCAUGCCAAUAAAAGAACAAGCCACACAUAUGUAAAAACUUUAGUUUACAAAUCUAUCAACAUCCCCAUAAAUUUUCCCAAAAAGUGAUCUUCAAAAACCAAAAAUACCAUCAAUUUUCGCAUCUUCUAGUAAACAAACUAUAAAAGUUUCGCACUCAAACAGAGCCACACGCGCCUCCACGCGCUUCCCGGAAUCACGGCCAACCACCACGCGCCUCUGUCACCACCAACUCACCCUCAUGCGCUCCAGAUGUUGCAGAAGACGCAAAACGACGUGUCGUUUUCUUCUCUAAAAGUGCAGCAACGUGGAAAUGACUUUUUGUUUUUGCCUUAAAUUGUUUUUCCUCGUUUGAAGCUAUACAACAUUUUUCUUUCUAAACCUGUUUUUUACAAUAAAAAAAGAAAAAAAUGGAGAAAACUCCAACUGAAUCUACUCAUGUUGUCAUUCAAUCUGUUCAACCUGAUGGAGUAUUUAAUGCCGAAAUUAUCCUUACUAAGACAAACUACGAUAUUUGAUCUCAAAUAAUGGAGAUGCAUCUCGCAGAAAGAAAAAAACUCCCAUAUAUUCGUAGCAGCAUAAAUCCAUCUGACAAAUUUUCAAAGAAAUAUGAGAAAUGGUAUAGUGAGAACCAAAAAGUAAAAAGAUGGUUACUCAUAACCAUGUGUCCUGAGAUCAUGAAGCGAUAGUUACAAAUUCCUACAGCCUACGAAAUUUAGAAUGCAUUAUCAAAAGCCUUUUAUAAUGGAAGCGAUGAAAUACAAGUUUUCACUCUAAAUCAGAAGGCGUUCUCUACGAAGCAAAAUGGACAACCACUCUCUAAAUUCUACGGAGAAUUGAUCAAAAUGUUUCAAGAACUUAAUCACCGAGAUAAAGUGGUCAUGAAGGAUCCAGAAGAUGUUAUAAUAUAUAGGAAGUUUGUUGGAAGAUUGAGAGUGCACAUUUUUCUUGCUGGACUAGAUGAAGAAUUUGACCAAGUUUGUGGAGAAAUUCUACGAAAAGAUACUAUCCUAGACUUAAAAGAAUGUUAUUCUCUAAUCCGAAAAGAAGAUGUACGGCAAAGCAAACUAACAAGAAGGUGGACGACUCAGAAACGUCUGCUAUGAUACCACAAGAGAACAAUGUUUUGAAAUUGUUCGAUAUCCUGACUGGUGGGAUACUCGAAGUAAUAACACAAAGCAGAGAUAAAAAACUGCAGUAGCUGAAUCCACAUCCACUACAGAUCUUAGAAAAGAAUCUUCAGCGCAAAUUGCAACCUCUGUCAAUUCAGGUAAGGUCAUUAAAACUCUUACAUUUGUUAUUAAUAGUAUAUGGAUAAUUGAUUAUGGUGCAACUGAUCAUAUGACUUUUGAUUCUUGACAAGUUUCUUAAUUGAAACCAUCUUCACAUAAACAUGUUUCUACUGUAAAUAGAACCACAACCUCAGUUAUUGGGGAAGGAUCUUUACAACUCACAAUUAAAUCAAAUUUAGACUUUGUGUUAAUUGUUCCAUCUUUAAAUUAUAAUCUUUUAUAUGUGUCUCAAAUAACCUCUUACUUAUCAUGUGUUGUAAUGUUUUGGCCCGAUCAUUGCAUGUUUAAGGACAUCCAAAUGAAGGAAACGAUUGGUUAUGAUAUUAAAUAAGGCAACUUGUAUUACCUGGAGAUGACAUCAACAAACACUGAAAAGCUAAGCCCCGCAUUAGUAGCAGACAAUUCCAUGAAAAAAAAGGAAAUAAGAAAUUUGGUUAUGGCAUAGACGAUUAGGGCAUGUGUCAUUUGAUUUCUUAAAAAAAUUGUUUCCUAGUUUGUUUCUGAAAUUUGAUAUUUGUAACUUUAAAUAUGAUGUUUGUGAACUUUCAAAUAGCCAUCGAACUACUUUUCCAUUGUCCUUAAAUAAGAAUCCAAUUCCUUUAAUGGUAGUACAUUCUGAUGUAUAGAGACCAUCUAAAGUUUCUACCAUUGGAAGAGCUCGUUGGUUUGUUACAUUUAUUGAUGAUUGUAGCAGAAUGACAUGGAUUUUUUUAUGAAAUUAAAAUCAUAUGAUGGUGACAACUCUAUUUCAGACACAAAUUUGAGUUCUACAUACUGAUAAUGGAGGCGAGUAUAUGAGCACAACAAUUCAACAGUUUUUGAAAUCACAAUGAACUCACCACCAAACCACUUGUGUGGGGACACUCCAACAAAAUGGCGUUGCUAAACAAAAAAAUAGACAUUUACUAGAAGUUGUUCAAGCAUCACUAAUUUAGGCCCGCAUGCCACUAUUUUAUUGGGGAGAAGCAUUGGCAUCCGUAGCAUACUUGAUCAAUCGGACACCUUCAAUCUUCCUUGGAUUCCAAACUUAUUUUCUAGUUCUAAAUGAAGAAUUAUGUCAUCAAAUGUGUCGAAUUUACCCCCACAUAUGUUUGGUUGUGUUGCCUUCGUUCAUUUGCCAUGACAAGAUAAAUUAUCUCCUCGAGCACUACGUUGUGUGUUUGUAGGGUAUGCCUUACAUCAAAAGGGGUACCGAUGCUAUCAUCCUCUAUUAAGAAAAAAUAUACAUCACCAUGGACAUAAUCUUUCAUGAAGAUAUCAUGUAGUACCCAUCGGAGCUUGAAUUUCAGAGGGAGUAUAAUGAAGAGGAAAUUCAUACUCUUACAUAUCUUUCACCUGAAGAAGAUCAAUCCUCCAUUGAGGUAGUAAACGUUCAAGAUACUGGAAAAGAAAACGACAAUGAUUCUCAGGCUGAGACAAGUGAAGACACAUUUAGGGAGCAAAAUAACUCAGACAUAACCACAAUCGAGAACGAGUCCAUGAAGAGCCACAUGAAGAAAUAUCUAACCAAUCAUCUGCAGAGGAUGAUCCUACCACAAAUCCCAGUCUAAUCAGAAGAAUACUUCCCCAGCAUCAAAAUAGAGGUAUCUCUAAACCCACAUAUAAGACUGACCUCUCUAGUAGAGUCAAAUACCCUAUGAGUCAUUUUGUAUCUAACCAUGGCUUAUCAAAAUCAAAUCAGUCAUUUGUGAAUCAAUUAUCUACUGUGUCUAUUCCUAACAGUGUGCAAUAAGCCUUAAAAUAUCGAAAGUGGAAAGGGCUAUGAAUGACGAAAUGAGAUCUCUUUAAAAAAAAUCAAACAUGGGAACUAAUUGAUCUUCCACCAGGAAAGAAACCAGUGGGUUGCCGAUGGAACUAGUUGAUCAUCCACCUCCAUUCUGACAAGCAAUGUUUAUCAGCAAUAACAAAUGACUGAAGCAUUUUAAUGAGGUUAGUAACGAAAAAGAGUUUAAUUAGAGAAUAUUAUAAGAGAAAUUCUAAUUUUUGAUUUUUAAUAAAUUAAAAUAUCUUAAAAUAUUAUUAGUUGGUGGUGGUUUCAUGUCAGAUUAAGACGUGACACCUUACUAAUGAGGUCGAGACAAUUAGCUUAAAUUAUUUCAAUGCAUUUGAAAUUUCCACUAAUGACUAUAAUUCUUUGUCCUAAUUACUAUGAUAAUUAAUAACAUACAAUUGAAAUAGUUAAUAUUAGCACUUGGCAAUAAAUAAUUAAAUUUCAUUAACACUAAAUAAUAAUUGAAUAUGGCUUUGUACAUCGAUGACGCCAGCAACAAGGGGACCGCGAUUAUCACUCUUUAAGUUGCUUUUAAAAUUGAUUUUAGUAGUGAUAUGAUUAUUGUAGUGUUUUUAUUUUUUAUAUUAAAAUUAAGUGAUUUGUUAUAAUAAACUUAGUUGAGUUUAAUGGUAUUACUACAUAAAUUGAAUAGUUAUCAAAUAUUUUAAUAUUUUUAUGGCAAGCGUUGACGUGGCAUUUAUUUGUUGUAUGAUGGAUUUUAAAAUUUAUAAAAUUAUUUGUUAUUAAAUUACCCCCAGAUGCUACAUCACCUGAAACUUAAUAAAGGUAUGAAGACAUGUGUGUGUGGACUGAAAUGAAGAAUAUGGAAAAGUUGAGAGCUGUUGUGCAGAUUGAGUUCAGUUGAUGGGGUCUAUUAGAUAUUGUCUGCUGACGUGGCAUGAAUUCGUUAUAAUCUGUUAUAACGAGUUCAGUAUAUCAGUAUACAAUAGAGCUGAUGGAUGGUGCCUGUUUUAGAGUCUUUUUUAUAUUCAUUUGUUCAUCAUUUUGCGCAAGAUCUGUUCCAUUGUGAUAUGUGUAAAGUCUUAUGUAAACCCACUUAUGAUUGGAUUAGUUCUUGAUUAAUAACAACGAGUAAAUUUUCCUUCAAGUGUGCUGGUCUGUGCCCCUGUUUUUUGUUCUGAUAUUGUUUCUUUGUUCUGGCAUUUCAUUUCGAUUGUGUUCUUGGUGUUUCUACUCAUCAAGAUUUAUGAGUCUUGUUGAGAUUAAAGACUUAAUAGUCUUAACAAGUGGUAUCAGAGCCUGGUGAAUCUCAGCCAUGUCUCUUUCGAAGCAUGAAAUUGAAAAAUUCACCAUUGGUGGUGAUUUCUCGCUUUCGAAAUUAAAAAUGAGGGCUCUCCUUGUGCAUUAGAGGCUUGAAUUUGCUCUGGAAAAAGAUAAUCUAGAGGCUGCUACAAGUUAUGUGACUGAUGAUAAGAAGAGACAAAUCCAAAACCGAGCUCGUAGCACUCUAGUUUUGAGUCUUGGUGACUCAAUCUUGAGAAAGAUUUCUGAAGAGAAGACAACCUUAGGGAUUUGGAACAAGGUAGAAGCUUUGUGUACAAAGAAGUCGCUAGCUCACAGACUAUUCUUGAAGAAAAAGUUAUACACAUUCUCGAUGAGAGAAGGAGUCACAAUUCAAGAUCACAUUGAUACCUUCAACAAGAUCAUUCUUGAUCUUGAAGGGGUGGAAAAUGUGACAAUAAGUGAUGAAGAUAAAGCCUUCUUCUUGUUGAGUUCCUUACCAAAGUCUUAUGAAGGCUUUGUAGAUACAAUGCUUUAUGGCAGAACAACAUUGACUCUUGAAGAUGUUAAAGCAUCUCUAAGUUCAAAAGAGAUUCAGAAGAACAAUGAGAUUGAAACAAAUAAUGGUGAUGGGCUGAUUGCCAGAUCAGAAAAGAAGAAAGAUCAGAAGAAUAAAAAUCAGGGAAAAUGACAUGGAAAGAAUUAAGAAAAUGCAGACAAGAAGAAAAAGAAGAGAAAAUGCUUCUACUGCCGGAAGGAAGGGCAUUACAUCAGGGAUUGUCUUAAAAAGAAAAAAAAAGAAAGUCAAGAGAAGUCAGGGGAUGCAGCUGUAGCCUCUGAUGAUGCCUCUGAUGGAUAUCACAUUGCUGAUUUACUUGUGGCCUCAAAUAGCAAUACUAAAGGUCAGUGGGUCAUAGACUCUGAGUGCUCUUUUCACUUGUGGCCUGAUAAAACCAUAUUUUACAAAUAUGAAGUUGUUGAUGGUGGUAGAGUCUUAAUGGGAAAUAAUAAUGUGUGUAAUCUUGUUGGUAUUGGUUCUGUGAAGAUCAAGAUGUUUGAUGGAACUGUAAGAGCUCUACAUGAGGUGAGGCAUGCUCCUAGGCUAAAGAGAAAUCUAAUCUCUUUAGGCAUGCUAGACAGCUUAGGGUAUUUCUUUAAAUCAGAAAGUGGUGGUUUAGAGAUAAGAAAGGGGACUGAGAUAGUGAUGAAGGGGGUUAAAGAAAAUGGCUUAUAUGUAUUGUAAGGCUCAUCAGUGCUUCUUCAAAAGGGAAUUUCUGCUCUUUUUGAGGAAGAUAUAACCAAGUUAUGACAUCUUAGACUUGGUCAUAUGAGUGUCAAAGGGAUGUAAGAGCUCAGCAAACAAGGGCUACUUGGUGGGGAUAGAAUCCAGCAACUGGAAUUAUGUGAAAAUUGCAUUUUUGGCAAAGCUCACAGGUCCAAGUUUCACAAGGGGGAGCAUAUGUCUAAGCAAGUUUUGGACUAUGCACAUGCUGACCUUUGGGGGCCUGCUCAAGUCCCAUCCUUGAGUGGUGGCAGGUAUUUCAUAUCACUAAUUGAUGAUUACUCAAGGAAGAUGUGGGUCUACAUACUCAAGACCAAAGAUCAAGCCUAGGAAAAAAUUCAAGGUAUAGAAAUCUUUGGUAGAAAAUCAAUUUGGAUUCAAGCUCAAAUGCUUGAGAACUGAUAAUGGUUUGGAAUUUUGUAGCAAAGAAUUUGAGGAAUAUUACAAAAAAACAUGGCAUAAAAAGGCACAAAACAGUCAGGUUCACCCCCCAGCAGAAUGGCUUGGCUGAAAGGAUGAACAUGACCUUGGUAGAUAAGACCAGAUGUAUGUUGAUAAAUUCAAAGCUUCCAAGAAGCUUUUGGGCAGAAGCUGUCAAUACAACAAGUUGUUUGGUUAACAGAAGCCCAUAUUCUGCAAUUGGCUUCAAAACACCAGAAGAAUUGUGGAAGGAAAAACCUGUAAAUUACCAAAAUCUCAGUGUUUUUGGAUGCCCUGCUUAUCUCCACAUCAAUCAAGGCAAGCUGGAAGCUAGGGCCUUGAAAGGAGUCUUUGUUGGAUAUCCUGAUGGGGUUAAGGGAUACAUAAUCUGGUGUAGAGAGUAAGGGAAGUGUAUAGUCAGCAGGGAUGUUGUGUUUCAUGAAUUUGGAUUGCUAAAAGAAAAUGCAGAGAAUGAUACUAGACUACAAAAUGAUUCAAUAAUUAUCAAACAAUCUGGAACUUCCAAGGUUAAGGUGGAGCUGUUUGGAAAUAAAGACAGUAGAAAAGAGGUAGCUGAUUAUGAAGAGAGGACCACAGCUAAAGUUGAGGAACAUGAGUCAUCAGAGUUGCCACAAGCUGACUUGCAGACUUAUCAGUUAGCAAGAGAUAGAGUUAGAAGAGAAGUCAAAGCACUAGUGAGGUAUGGCUAUGCUGACUUAAUUACUUAUGCAUUGUUGUGUGCUGAUGAUGUGGCAAUUGAAGAGCCUGCUAACUUCUCUGAAGUUAUUGAAAGUGUGCAUUGUGAUAAGUGGCUUGAGGCAAUGCAAGAUGAAAUGGGAUCCCUUCAAAGAAAUCAGACCUGGACACUUGUUCCAAAUCUAGGUAAUAAAAAGUUGAUCAGUUGUAAGUGGAUCUUCAAGAAGAAUGAAGGAAUUCCAGAUGUUGAACCUCCCAAAUAUAAAGCAAGGCUAGUGGCUAGGGGGUUUACACAGAGAAAGAGUGUAGAUUUCAAUGAAAAAUUUUCCCCUGUUCUUAAGCACAUUUCAAUAAGAAUUUUAUUAGUCAUGGUAGCCUUACUUGACUUGGAGCUUGAGCAAAUGGAUGUAAAAACAGCAUUCCUUCAUGGUAAUCUUGAAGAACAGAUAUUGAUGGCACAACCUAAAUGUUUUGAGUGCAAAGGAAAUGAGGAUUAUGUUUGUUUGCUGCAUAAGUCCUUGUAUGGACUCAAGCAAUCCCCACGACAGUGGUACAUAAGAUUUGAUGAUUUUAUGGUCUCAAAAGGCUAUCACAUAAGCAAAUAUGACAGUUGUGUUUACUUUGGUGGAUCAUAUCAAGGUGGAGUUGCUUAUUUGCUUCUGUAUGUUGAAGAUAUGUUAAUUGCAAGAAAAUAUAAGUUGGAGAUAGAGAGGUUGAAGAAAUGAAGGAUCUCGGCAAUGCCAAAAGAAUCCUUGGGAUGAACAUUACAAGGGGCAGAUCUGCUGACACUUUGUUCUUGAGUCAUGAGAAAUAUAUCAAGAAGGUUCUGGAGAGGUUUGAGAUGCAAGACUAUAAACCUGUCCAAACACCACUUGGUCCCCAAUUCAAGUUGACAGCAGCUCAAUCAUCAGAAGAUGAGUCUCAGGUGAGUGAAUUCCCAUAUGCACAGGUUGUAGGGAGCCUGAUGUAUGUAAUGGUAUGCACCAGGUCAGAUAUAGCUUAUGCAGUAAGUGUUGUCAGCAAAUUUCUCAGUUGUCUAGGCAAGGUUCACUGGAAUGUUGUAAAAUGGAUAAUGAGAUAUCUUAAGGGCUCUUUUACUUGUGGUUUGCUGUAUGGGAAGACUAAGAGUGACAUAAGUGAAGUCCUGGGGUUUGUAGACUCUGACUUUGCUGGAGAUCUUGAUAGAAUGAAGUCAACCUCAGGGUAUAUGUUUGUGUUAAACAGUUGCCUGAUUAGCUGGAAGUCAUCACUUCAGUCUGUGGUUGCUUUAUCCUCAACUGAAGCUGAGUUUGUUGCAACUACAGAGGCAGUAAAAGAGGCCAUGUGGCUAAGAGGUUUGCUUAAUGAGUUAUGGUUAAAUCAGAAAAUUGUUCAGGUUUUCUGUGAUAACCAAAGUGUCAUACACCUGGUAAAGAAUCAGAUGUAUCAUGAAAGAACCAAGCACAUUGAUGUGAAGCUCCAGUUUAUCAGAGAUGAGGUUGGAAAAGGAACUAUAAUUGUGUCCAAGAUCUAUACCAGUGUGAAUCCAACUGAUGUUAUUACAAAAGCACUUCCCACUGCAAAAUUUGAAUUCUAUGUGAAUCUAAUGGGCAUCUCGCCCAAACCUAACUAAAUUCAAUAGUGAAUUGUAGUUGAAUGAAGGUUUUUUAGGUGCUGUGUUAUUGAAAGGAUCAACUGAAUCAACUGCAAGGUGGAGAAUGUGAAGAUGUGUGUGUGGACUGAAAUGAAGAAUAUGAAAAAGUUGAGAGCUGUUGUGCAGAUUGACUUCAGUUGAUGGGGUCUAUUAGAUAUUGUCUGCUGACGUGGUAUGAAUUCGUUAUAAUCUGUUAUAACGAGUUCAAUAUAUCAGUAUAUAAUGGAGCUGAUGGAUGGUGCCUGUUUUAGAGUCUUUUUCGUAUUCAUUUGUUCAUCAUUUUGCACAAGAUUUGUUCCAUUGUGAUCUGUGUAAAGUCUUCUGUAAAUCCACUCAUGAUUGGAUUAGUUCUUGAUCAAUAACGAGUAAAUUUUCCUUCAAGUGUGCUGGUCUGUGCCCCUGUUUUUGGUUCUAAUAUUGUUUCUUUGUUUUGGCAUUUCAUUUCGAUUGUGUGCUUGGUGUUUCUACUCAUCAAGAUUUGUGAGUCUUGUUGAGAUUAAAGGCUUAAUAGUCUUAACAAAAGGGAAUGUAGCAUUGCCAUUAAUCAACAUUCACUCUUAUGACUUUAUGACAUUAGAAUUAAAAUCUUUCGUACAUUUAAUUUAUUUGCUUCCAAAUUAAUCUUUAAUAAAUAUUUUUUCACAUUAUCAUCAAUGGACAAAACUCCAACGAAAAUAACUACACGAGAACAAUUUAUGCUAGUAUUAAAUGCCACGAUAUCUAUAACUUUGUCUGGAUCGAUCAUUCUAAUUUUUUCGCAGAACUUUUUGUCAAUGGACAAACACCUCACAGAGCUUGUCAGCCGCAUUAUUACGAUGUAAAAUUGUACCGGAAUAUCUUGAAUUAUUAGUAGAAUAAUGAAGACUAUUUGGGGCAAUAAAAACAAAUAACGCAGAUAAAAAAAUGGCUAAAAUUAUGUAAGUGAGCCCCAAAGUUUUUGCUAUUUCCAGGAAAUCCCAAAUUUGAAUGGACUAGAGGGAGGCACGUAAGAAAUACAUUUUCUUCCUAGACAAUGACAGCUAUGACAUCAAGCCACGGUGGCGUCAGUAUUGAAAUUAAGGUGUAAUUAUUCAGCCAAUGAGCCUUACACAUCAAGAUAAAAGUCAAGAUAAUGAAAAUUUGGCUGUUUCCAUUUGAAGUUAAAAGCAACGUUUCUUUCGUUUUGUGGGCGACUCGACUGAGCACGCCCCAAUAGCUAUAUUUAGGGCGUCAAUUUGAUAUUUGAAUGGACAGGCAAGUAAGAAAUACAUUUCCUUCAUAGACAAUGACAACGAGGACAUCAAGCCACAUCAUUAUAGUUUGUAGCCCAUCUACAUUUAAACGAUUAAUAAACAAGCUUAGGUGUGCCACUGCUAUUAUUAAUUAUCCCCUGAUCAUUAUAGUUUCUGAAACAGUAAAACUAAACGAAAUUGAAUACAUCAACGAGACCGCAAUUAUCACUUGUUUAGUUGCGGUAUUUAACUUAAUUUUAAUAUAAUAUAUUUGUUAGUUAAACUUUUAAUAAUCAAAUAAUUUUGAUUUAAAAAUAAAAUUAUAGAAAUUAUUAAUUAUUAAUUAUUAAAAAUUCACAAUUAAGGGAACGUUCAUCAAACACACAUAGCUAUUGUUUUCUCUAUAUAUUGCAGUGUGUACGAUAUUGAGGGUUGAAGCCCCAAGCAUGCUCUAAAAUCCAGAUAAUAAUUAGAUCCGGGCCAAAUAUUCAUCAUUGUGUCAGCUGAUCAGUCGGUGGACAUCUCUAUUGAAAAUAUCUCUGACAUUUCACUCGACAAACUUAUUAAUAUAAAAAAUCUGUGGUUUUGCCGUCUGAAUAAUGUAGAAAAAUUUGUCUAUGCAUUAAUCUAGAUGUUUGAGGUGAUUUAUACAUCUGUGGUAAAGAUUUAUAGGUUGACUUAGACGUCUGUGGUAUAGAUUUUAUGUAUUUCAUUACAAAAUGCUGGCCGUUAGAACCCUUUCUACAUCUAUUUAUAAGAUUAACGGGUGCCAGCUAUGCCAUUACAAAUUAUCCCCUCAUCAGAUAUUUCGUUAAAAUUCAUUCUGAAACACUAAAACUAAAUAAUCGAAUAUGGCUUUGCGGGUCGAUGAUGCCAGCAGCAAUGAGACUGCAAUUAUCACUUGUUUAGUUUCUGUGCUGGCCGUGGUUUACUUCGCAUGGAAUGUGAAAAAAUCAAGGAAAGCAAAUGCUACACUGCCACCAGGACCUCGCGGCUUGCCUGUAUUCGGAUACCUCCCAUUUCUUGGAACUACUGACUUGCACAAGAAAUUCACGGAAUUAUCCGGAGUUUAUGGUCCGAUCUUCAAGCUUUGGCUUGGAAAUAAAUUAUGUGUAGUGGUGAGCUCACCUUCCCUAAUUAGACAAGUGGUUCGUGAUCAAGAUACAACAUUCGCGAACCGUGACCCACCGAAGGCUGCACUAGUGGUCUCCUAUGGUGGCAAUGAUAUUGCAUGGUCCAAUUACGGUCCCGAAUGGAGAAAGUUGCGCAAAUUUUUUGUGGGCAAGAUGAUGAAUAACGCAAGCCUUGAUGCUUGUUAUGCUCUAAGAAGACAAGAGGUUAAAAAUACUAUCAGGGAUUUGUAUAACAACGACAACAAAAUUGGCAAGCCCAUUGACAUUGGUGAAUUGUCGUUUUCAACAUUGGUAUGUGCUAUACAGAACAUGCUGUGGGGUGAAGCGCUUGAAUUAAAAGAGAAAGGGACCACUAAUCUUAGGGCUGGGCUAAAAUUUAAGCUGGCAGAACUCAUGGUGCUUGCGGGAACACCGAAUAUUUCGGAUGUCUUUCCAAUGCUUUCAUGGCUUGACAUACAAGGUAUAGAGAGGAGAGCAAAGAAGAUUUCACUCUGGCUUGAUAAUGUUAUAAAUUCUACUGUUGAACAGCAUAGAAACAAGGAGUUAACUGUUGAAGGUGAAGAAAGAGCGGGGAAAAAUUUUGAAGGAUCAAGGAACAAGAACUUCUUGCAGUUACUAUUGGAGCUUCAAGAAAAUGAUGACAGUGCUUCCUCAAUUAGCAUGAACCAAUUCAAGGCCGUACUCGCGGUAUGUUAAGCAACUAGCCACGAACAGUUAUACAAGCACAAUUGUAUAUUUGCAUGAGUGAUAUUUUCAACCUUUUUUUUUAAUUAGAAUUUUAUUGUCACCUUUUGGACAGGAUAUAAUUACGGCUGGAACCGACACCACAACUACGAUGGUGGAAUGGACAAUGGCAGAGUUGAUGCAGCAUCCACAAGUAAUGAAGAAAGUUCAGGAAGAAUUAGCUCAAGUUGUGGGCAUGGACAGUUGUGUUGAAGAAUUUCACCUGUCUAGAUUAAUGUAUUUAGAUGCUGUGGUGAAGGAAACAUUUCGUCUGCAUCCUGCAGUGCCUUUAUUACUACCACGUAGGGCAAGCGAGAGUGGCAACAUUGGUGGCUAUACCAUUCCCAAAGAUACAACUCUUAUGUUGAAUGUUUGGGCUAUCCACAGGGACCCUCACCUUUGGGAUAAUCCCUUAGAAUUUCGACCCGAGAGGUUUCUGAAUGUUGGUAUCGAGAGUAAGUUCGAUUACUCAGGUAACAAUUUUCAGUACUUGCCAUUUGGUUCUGGUAGAAGGAUGUGUGCUGGGAUUCCUCUAGCUGAGAGGAUGCUGAUGUUUGUUUUGGCUUCGUUAUUGCACUCAUUCGAGUGGGAAUUGCCAACUGGCACAAAGCUAAACUUAUCAGAAAAAUUUGGGAUUGUCAUUAAGAAAAAAGAGCCUUUGGUUGCUAUUCCAACACCAAGACUAUCCAAUUCAGAGCUCUACCAUUAAGACCAAAUGGUUGUGAUGAUUUUGUUAAUUUCCGAAGAUUUGUAUGUUAUUUCAAGUUCAAUCGUAGUAAAAUAUUUCAAAUAAGAGUCCUCCGUUGCUUUUUUUUUUUUUUUUCAACGGCAUAAUCUGUGGUCAUGCUUGUAUUUGGAGCCACUUUAGAAAAAUUAUGUUUGAAUUACAAUUUAUAAAUAUUACAUUUUAAAAUAUUAUGAGGCUAAAUUUAUACACGUUCAAUAACCCGCUUCAUAUAUAUUUAACACAAUUUAUAUCAUACAUUGUACACCCAUUUAUCAUAAAUUACACUAUUUUGUAUCUCUAAAUAAUAUUACGUAUUGAUAUUAUAAAAUAUAUAUGGAAAAGAGAACAAAGAAGAUUUCUUAUGGUUUGAAAAUAUUAUGAAUUCUGCUGUUGAACAGUAUGGAAACAAGGUCUCUGUUGUUAAAGGUGAAGAAGCAACAGGGAACAAUAUUGAAGGAAGAAAUUUCACAUGUUUAGUUGCUGAAUUUGCCGCUGUAUUCUAUCGGUAGUAAAAAAAUUAGAGUUUUUAUUUUUCUCUAUUAAUGUUAAGUCAAUUUUCUAUAACAAAUUCGGUUGAGUUUAAUUGUGUUACAAUAUAAAUUGAAUGAUAAUAGAAUUUUCAACGAAUAUUUCAAUAUUUCUAUCUCGAUUGUUGAAGUGCCAUUUAUUUGUUAUGCGAUCGAUUUUAAAAUUUAUAAAAAUUAUUUGUUACUAAAUUGCAUCAUAUGCUAAAAUCACCUGAAACCUAAUUCCAUAACUAACCCUUUAUUUUUAGUUCUCAAGAAAUCUUGUAAGAACAAAAUUCUUUUAUAACAAAACUUUUACAACACAUUAAUUUGUAACUCAUUCCUGUGCGAGAAUCACUCUCAAAUUCCUUCAAUUGCUGUUGAACAAUCAUCUGCUUAUCAAAAUUCAAGCAUAAUCUUUUCUUUUUUUUAAUUUCUUCAUCAUUCUUUUGAAAAAAAAAAAUCAGGAUAUGCUGUUAAAAUUUUGAAAUAAAUUAUCUCAAAAUAAUUACUAACCAGAAAAAACAAAGGGGUUUAACUAGGUUAUGCAUACCUUUGAAAAUUAUAUGUUGAUCGAUAAGAAUGAUGAUCACGAUUGAGGAGUUUAAUUAAAAUAUAUAAGAUUUUAAAAUUAAUCAGGGUUAAAUUGUGAAUUUUAGAAAGAGAGGUUUUGUGAGAAUGCUGAAAGGGUGUUAAUAGUUCCACUCUUUUUAAAAGCAACCAUAGUCAUCAUUUUUCCCGAUUUCUUCUUCCCAUCUCCAUCUUAUUUAGAAAUUUCCCAGAGCCUUUGUUUCCCACCUUUCAUUGUUCUUCUUUCUAAUUUAAUACUAUAGGAUUACAAAAAUAAUUACUCACAUUUUAUCAAACACCUCCAUUCUACCAAGGCCUUGUUUUAGUAGUAGGCUUUUAUUAUCUCAAUAAAAUUGAAAAAACAAAUCUCAAUAAUAUUGGAAAAAAAAAACCUACCCAUAUUUGUAACUUUAAUUUAUUAUUCUCCAUAGACCUACUUUUUAGCUUUGAAUUUUGUUGGAGCCAUAUAUAAACAGAAUAUGUUGAAUCAGCACCAAAAAAAAAAAAAAAAAACUAAUUAUAUAAUUUCUGUUCCCAAGGACAUGACUGAUUGAUUUUCAAGAAGUUUUGUUUGGCUGGCUACUUAGGUUUAAAUCUUGGUGGAGAUUAGGGGUUAAGAAAUAAAUUUGGACUUUGCACACCCCUUUAACUUUUAAAAAGAAAUGAAAAAAACUAAUUAAUUAAUCUUUAUUUUAUUUAUUAAAUAUCAUAAUCCUAUGCGUAUUUUAUUUGUUAUCUUUCUAUUUAAAAGACAGGAGGGCAGAUAAAACUGAAAUAAAUUUUUAGCCCUAUCUCCAUCUUUCAAGUUCCAUAGUUAGGUGACCAGGUAAAGAAAAUUAAUUGAAAGCUACUCCAUCAAAUUAAAAAAUUUUAUUUAUUUAAUUUGUGGAGAUGUAGAAAAUCAAACCCCAUGCCUUUUCGCGUGGAAAAGUGUCAACCUGGUCUAGCUAUGUUGCAAAAGUGAACAUAUUUUAAUACAUGACUAUCAUCCUUUAUCCUAAAUACUACUAUAACUAAUAACAUACAAUUGAAAUAAUUAAUGUUAACACUUGGCUAUAAAUAAAGGUUUUGUGCUUGAAUCUUCACGCAUGACCUUCAUUCCUUUAUUUACUUUGCUAACACAGAUUUUGAGGCAUUAAAACUAAAUAAUAAUUGACUUUGUGGGCCGAGGAUGCCAGCAACAAGGAGACCACAAUUAUCACUUGUUAAGUUACUCUAAUUGCCGUUGUCUUAUAUUCAUAGAAUAUUAGUAAUAAGAUUAUUGUAGAAUUUUUUUAUAUUAAAAUUAAGUCAAUUUGUUAUAACAAAUUUAGUUGAGUUUAAUCGUGUUACCACAUAAAUUGAAUAAUAAUAAAAUUCUCGACAAAUAUUUCAAUAUUUUUAUCCCAAGCGUUGGAGUGGCAUUUAUUUGUUAUACGAUCAAUUUUAGAAUUUAUAAAAUUAUUCGUUACUGAAUUGCACCAUAUGCUGCAUGACCUGAAACUUAAUAAACGGAACGUAGCGUUGGCACCGUUACUCAACAUACUGUUACGACUUUGUGACAUUAGAAUUAAAAUCUUUUGCACAUUUAAUUUGUUUACUUCCAAAUUAAUAUUUAACAAAAUAUUUUUUCACAUUAUCAAUGGACAAAACUCCAACGAAAAUAACUACACAAGAAAAAUGUAUGCUAGUAUUGUGUGCCAUAUCAUCUGUAAUUUUGUCAGGAUCGAUCAUUCUAAUUUUUAAGCAGAACUUUUUAUCAAUGGACAAACACCUCACACAGCUUGUCAGAGGCAUUAUUAUGAUGGAAAACUGUAAUGGUAUAUCUUGAAUUAUUGGUAGAAUAGUUCUUUGGAGCAAUAAAAACAGAUAAGACAGAUGAGAAAAUUGUCAAUACCCCACCGCAAAAGCAAAAGAAAAAAAGGAAAGGAGACAAAAGAGGAAGAAGAAAAAGAAAAAAGAACGAAGAAAAAAAUGGUGCCGCGCGGUAUAGGCAAGAAGAAAAAAUAAUAAUAAAAUAAUAAAAUAAUAGUGCACAACAGUCAUUUGAUUGCUAUAAAUAAAGGGGCAUUUCCCUCAUUUUAUUCAUCGAAUUCUUCAGUUCCUAAGCGAUUUAAGAGUCUAGUGAUUUGAGAGUUUGGGUAUAGUAUAGUUUUGAGUAGUGAGUUAAAAUAUUACAAUACUUAUAACUUAUUUUUACUAAUAAAAUAUUUUUCUUCUAUCUUCACCCGUGGACGUAGGGUCAAAGCCGAAUCACAUAAUUUUUAGUAUCCCUAUGUGAUUAUGUAUCUCAUUAUUUUUCAAUUUUACUUUAGUUACGUGUCUGCUACAUCCUUCAAUUUACUAACAAAAAUGGCCAAAAUUAUAUAAGUGACCCAAAUUUUUUUGCUAUUUCCAAGAAAUCUCCAAUCUGAAUGGGCCAGACCAGAGGGAGGCAAGUUAGAAAUACGUUUCCUUCAUAGACAAUAACAGCGAUGAGUCGAUGACAUCGAGCCACGUCGGUAUCAAUAUUGAAUUAAAGGUGCAAUUAUUCAGCCAAUGAGCCUUACACAUCAAGAUAAAAGUCAAGAAAAUGAAUAUUUAUCCUAAUUAAAACACUUUCUGGCUGCAUUUAGUUGUUUCCAUUUGAAGUUAAAAGCAACGUUUCUUUCGUUUUGUGGGCAACUCGACUCAGUUAGCUGGCUUCUAGUGCUAGUAAGUGAAAAUAGAAGGCUAAUGAUUUAUUUGUUAUCUUUUGAUAAAAUUAUUAAAGAUAUAAUAGAUUUUUCAUGAUACAAAUAAAAAAUCACAUCAACAUAGCUUCCAAAGUACAACAGCUAAUGUUUACCAAACACUUUGUUGUAGCUUUUAAGCUACAGCUGCCCAACUUUAAUUUCAAAUGCACCCUUAAUAGGUUGAUUGAAUUUGUGGGAUAUAGAUUCCACAUAUCGUAUGACCUAGUAACUAUACAAGUGGUUCGUGAUCAAGACACAACAUUUGCUUCCGGCCCGGUGACCCAGCAAUCGCUGCAUUGGUCGCCACCUAUGGUGCCAACGAUAUUGCAUGGUCCAAUUGUGGCCUUGAAUGGAAAAAGUUGAGCAAAUUAUUUGUGGACACGAUGAUAAGUAACGCAAGCCUUGAUGCUAGUUAUGGUCCAAGAAAACAAGAGAUAUGCAUAACAACAAAAAGGAAAAAAAAAAAAAAAAAAAAAAAGGCAUUUGCAAGCCCAUUGAUAUUGGUGAAUUGUCGAUUUCAACUUUGGCAUGUGUAAUCCAGAGCCUGCGCGCUGUGGUGUGGCGCUGGCACGCUUGCAUUGACGAGGGGACAAGUCUUGGGGCUGAGCUAACAUUUAAGCUCGCAGAACUCAUGGUGCUAAUGGGAACACCAAAUAUUUUUUGACAUAUUUUGGUGCUUUCAUGGUUUAAUUCAAGGUAUAGAAAGGAGUGUUGAGAAUGUCAAAUAAAACGGUAUUGAAUGGAAGUUGUUAAAGACACGAUCCGCACCGAACGACAACAGCACGGUUGCUAAAAAUCCUUCCGUAAUAGGCAUAUCUAAUUUUUGAAAAAGUGUAACCUCUACAUUUAUAAAUAUACUCAAUGUAUAAUGUUUUACUUAAGAAAUGAAAAACUUGUUUGUUCAAGGAGAAUAAAGAAAAAUUUUCUAUGAUUUUUCUAUGGUUUGAACAAAGAAGGUUUUAACGAGUAUUAUAGACCUCGAUUGAAUGUUCGAAUGUAUAAUAAAAGAGAAACUGUCACAUAAAUGACAAAGAUACUUGAAAAAAAAAAAAAAGGGCAGCAAUAGAGAAUUAGAUCCGACUGUACAAAUAACUAGUUAAUUCAUCGAUACAUCAUUUUCUUGCUAGAAAAUGACAAUUAUGACAGCAAGCCACGAUAGUGUCAAUAUUGAAAUUGAUUUGCAAUUAUUCAGCCUAUGAGCCUUACACGUCAAGAUAAAAGUCAAGAAAAUGAAAGUUAAUAUCAAUUAAAACACUUCCAUUUCUAUGUGAAGUUAAAAAACAACGUUUCUUUUGUUUUGUGGGGGAUUCAACUGAGCACGCGCCACUAGCUAGCUGGCUUCUAGUUCUAGCAUAUGAAAACAGAAUUCUAAAGAUUUCACUUUCACCUUUUUUCUUUUUUUGGGGUUUUGAAUCAAAGUCAAGGUCGCACUGAAUAAUAUGUAAAAUUUGAAAAAGAAGAAUUAAUAGAGAACAAAGUUUUGUUUUAAAUUCACAUGGUGUGCAUACAAUUCAACAAACACUUCCUAUAAUAAAUCUGGAGUUGUAUCCCACGUUGAACAAUAAAGGAAAGUCACCUAAAUAUACAUGUAGGAUAAGUUACUUUAUUUAGUAAGUUUGUAUUUUCUUCUUUCUUCUAGUUUACAUAUAAAUUUGAUUAGAUAACUUAACACAUAUUUUAAUACUUGAUCAGAAGCCCGACGUACAGGUGGAUCUAGAAACUUGAUUUCUAAGAGUAAUACUAUAAUAAAAAAAUAAUGAUUCAUAGAACCAAUAUCAAAAUUUGUUUACAAGAUUGCCCCCACUCAAAGGUAAUUUUCAUAGAAAUUAAUAGGAAAUUUAAUUGUUAGUGGGGUCAAAUUGCCCCCACACUCUGAAUGUAGAUCCACGCCCGACCCUGAGUCAAGUAUAUUUUGCCACAUAUACUCUGAAUGUCGGCAGGAAAAAUCUUCCACUUUAGUUAAAAAUUUUCACUUAAAAAAUAUUUAUGUUAAUAAAGUUCGUAAAGGAAAUGAGUUUAAUUAAUGAAUAUUAUAGGAGAAAUUAAAGGAAAUGAGUUUAAUUAAAGAAUAUUAUAGGAGAAAUUCUAUUGUUCGGCUUUUAAUAAAUUAAUUAAUAGGUUUAAAAGAUUAAUAUACAUCAAAAUAUUAUUAGUUGGUGGGGGUUCCACAUCGGACUAAUACGUGUCACCUUACUUGUGAGAUUAAGACAAUCGACUUAGACUAUUUAAAUAUGUUUGAAGCUUAGAUGGCACCGCUUCAAUUUGCAUUACUGAAUGUCAUUCUUUAUCCUAAUUACUACCGUAAUUGAUAACAUGCAAUUGAAGUAACUAAUAUUAGCACUUGGCUAUAAAUGAACUAAAGGCCGUGCAAUUGAAUCUUUACUUGAUCACUUCACUCCUUUAUUUUGCUAACACAGAUUUUGAGAUAUUAAAACGAAAUAAUAAUUGAAUCUGGCUUUGUGGGUCGAUGAUGCUAGCAAAAACGAGACCACAAUUAUCACUUGUUUAUUUGCUGUAUUUGACGUUGUUUCAUAUUGGUAGUAAUAGGGUCAGUUUUUAAUCUUUUUAUAUUAAAGUUAAGUCAAUUUGUUAUCAAAAAAAAAAAUUGGUUGAGUUUAAUUAUAUUGCUAUGUACAUUAAAUAAUUAUAAUAUUCUUGAGGGAAAAAGACACCUAGAACCUCAAGGUUUGGGGAAAUGGUCACAAAGACUCCUAAGUUUUAAAAAAGGAACACUAAGAUCUUUUUUUACCCAUAAUACCCUUUGACUAGAGUAAUUAAAAAAUUGACUUUAAAGGUUUUUAAAUAAUUCUAAUUUAAUAUAAAUCAUAUAAUCUAUCUAGUAAACUAAUAAUAUUAAAUUAUUUUUUAUAUUUAAAAUAAUGUUAAAUUUUAAAUUAUUAUAUUUAUAAAAUUAUAAAGAUUUUAAAUAAAUAUUUGGAUUGAAUAUAUUUUACAAUUAAAAGUCUUCCUAUUAAUAAUAUUAAAAUUUAAUUUUACAAAAUAUAUAUUCAAAAUAUUUUUAAUUUUAAUUUAUUUAUUUUAAUAUUAUGUUUCUACCUAUUAUUAAAAAUUACUUUAAUAUAAUAAAAUAGGUCUAAUAGAUUGAAAAAUAUGAAAAUAUUUUUAAAAUUUUAAAUUAUUUUGAAAUGUAUAUAUUAUUACAUUUAUUUCAAUGUCAUAUUUUCAUUUAUUAUAAAAUUUUGGGGUUAUUUUUUUGGGAAUUUAUAGAGUCAAAGAGCAUUAUAAUUUAAUCCAUGCACAAUAUCUAUAAUUAUAUCGGUUGUCGGCUGAUUUCGUGGAGGGGGCGGCAGUUCAAAAUUUUUACGUGCAUGUUGGAUGGACGUCUCUAUUAAAGGAGAGCCACCACUUGCAUGGUAAUUUUUUUAAAUAAAUAUAUACAUUUCAAAACAUUAUUUUCUUGUUGUAUAGUUAACAUGUCACCUUAGAUGUAUUUUAGAGCUUCUCCUAUUAAAGAUAAUCUCAUGCAGUGUUACAGAGUAUGGUAAUAUGGUAUAGAUGAGAGCAUCUGAUUAAAUGAAGCAGCUGGUAAUGCUUACGUGUGUGAGUUAGUUAUCCAGCUCAGCAGCAAAGCAAACGAAAUGAAUUGCAUGCAUAUUAGAUCCAACAAACUGGUAAACUCUAGAUUCUUCUUUCAUUUAGUAUAAAUACCAAGUUGUUAUCAUUUGCUAAAUAUAUAAUAAGAUGAUCAUUUUCAGAUCUUUCCUUUAUAAUUUUCUAUAACUUUCUCGUUAGUUUCUCUUGAACCAAACACUUUGUACGAACUCUUUCGUGCAGUGAUACUUCUCGUGAUCUAAUCAUUAGUAGAAUCUAUAAUUUCGCUACUGUAAUAAAAUCUGUCACUACCCUAUAUGAAUGUAGAUAUUUGACGCGAUUUGUAAUUGCUUCCGACAGGAAAACAGCAAUAGUUUUAUUGAAAUUUGUGGUAUAGAUUCCACGAAUCUUAUGACAGAAUACUGACCACUCCAACCCUAUCCGCAUUUACACGAUUAAUACACAAGCUUAGAUGUGACAAUGCAUUUGUCACUCAUUCAAAUUCAUCCUGAAACACUAUACACUAAAUAAUCGAAUAUGGCUUCGUGGGUCGAUGAUGCUAGCAGCAACGAGACUGCAAUUAUCACUUGUUUUGUUGCUGUACUUGUCGUGGUCUAUUUCGCAUGGAAUGUAAACAAAUCAAGUAAAGCAAAUGCUAAAUUGCCACCAGGACCUCGGGGCUUGCCAGUAGUCCGAUACCUCCCAUUUCUUGGAACUACUGACUUACACAAGACAUUCACGGAGUUAUCUGGAGUUUAUGGUCCGAUCUUCAAGAUUUGGCUUGGGAAUAAAUUGUGUGUAGUGGUGACCUCGCCUACCCUAGUUAAACAAGUGGUCCGUGAUCAAGAUAUAACAUUCUCAAACCGCGACCCACCGAUCGCUGGAACUGUGACCACCUACGGUGGCAAUGAUAUUGCACUUUCCAAUUACGGUCCCGAAUGGAAAAAGUUGCGAAAAUUAUUUGUGAGCAAGAUGAUGAGUAAUGAGACCCUUGAUGCUUGUUAUGCUCUAAGAAAACAAGAGGUUAAAAAUACUAUCAGGGAUUUGUAUAACAACAAUAAGGAUAAUAUUGGCAAUGGCAAUGGCAAGCCCAUUGACGUUGGUGAAUUGUCGAUUUCAACUUUGGUACGUGUUAUGCAGAACAUGCUGUGGGGUCAAGCAUUGGAAACAAGAGAGAAAGAGAUUACUAAUCUCGGGGCUAAUCUUGCAGAACUCAUGGUGCUACUGGGAACACCAAAUAUUUCGGAUAUUUUUCCAGUGCUUUCAUGGCUUGACAUGCAAGGUAUAGAGAGAAGAGCUAAGAAGAUUUCUCUAUGGUUUGAAAAUAUUAUCAAUUCUGGUGUUGAACAGUAUAGAAACAAGUUCUCUGUUGUUAAAGGUGAAGAAGCUGCAGCACGAAAAAAUAUUGAACGAUCAAGAAAUAAGGACUUCUUGCAGUUGCUGUUGGAGCUUCAGGAAAAUGAAGAUAGUGCUUCAUCUAUUAGCAUGAACCAACUAAAGGCCGUGCUCGUGGUAUGUUAAGCAACUAGACACAAAAAGUUGUAAAAGCACAGCGAUAUAUUUGCGCGAGGCCCCGAGUGAUGUUUUGCCUCGAGAACUCUCAAUUUUAUCUUACGGUAAAAAAUGUUUUUCAACUUUUUUUUUUAAUUAGAAUUUUAUUGCAAUUUAUUUAACAGGACAUAAUUGUGGCCGGAACCGACACCACAACUACGAUGGUGGAAUGGACAAUGGCAGAGUUGAUGCAACAUCCACAAGUAAUGAAGAAAGUUCAAGAAGAAUUCGCUCAAGCUGUGGGCAUGGACAGUUGUGUUGAAGAAUAUCACUUGCCUAAAUUAAAGUAUUUAGAUGCUGUGGUGAAAGAAACAUUUCGUUUGCAUCCUGCGUUGCCCUUAUUGGUACCUCGCACGGCAAGCAAGAAUAGCAACAUUGGUGGCUAUACCAUUCCCAACGACACUAAUCUUAUGUUGAAUGUUUGGGCUAUCCACAGGGACCCUCAACUUUGGGAUAAUCCCUUAGAAUUUCGACCUGAGAGGUUCUUGAAUGAUGGUAUCAUAAGCAAUUUCAAUUACUCGGGUAACAAUUUUCAGUACUUGCCAUUUGGUUCUGGUAGAAGGAUGUGCGCUGGGAUUGCUCUAGCUGAGAGGAUGUUGAUGCUUGUUCUGGCUUCGUUGUUGCACUUGUUUGAGUGGAAAUUGCCCUCGGGCACAAAGCUAGACUUAUCUGAAAAGUAUGGGAUUGUCAUGCGGAAAAAAGAGCCUCUAAUUGCUAUUCCAACACCAAGGCUACCAAAUUCAGAUCUCUACCAGUAAGAUCAAAAUGGUUUUGAUAAUAUUAUUUCCCAUUGUAUUGGAUUUGAAGUUCAAUCAUAAUAAAAUAUUUUAAUAAAAUGUCCUCGGUUGCUAAUUUUUCAAUAGUAUAAUCUGCACCUGUCUUUUAUAGCAAUUUGGUCUAAUUUAUUUUUGAAUUAAAAUCCAUAAAUAUUUAUAUUUUUUUAAUUAUAUUAGGAAUUAUGUGGGGUGUAUGGUCUGAUCUUCGAGCUAUGCCUUGAAAACAAAUUAUGCAUAGUCGUGCACACGCUUUCCCUAAUUAAGUUUGUGGUUCGUGCUCAAGGCACAGCAUUCACCCCCCGCGACCCAACAAUCGCUACAUUGUUCCCCACCUAAAGUGCCAACAUAUUGCAUAAGUAACGCAAAAUAUGGUCCCCAAUGGAAAACGUUGCGCAAAUUAUUUCUGGGCAAGAUGAUAAGUAACGCAAGCCUUGAUGCUUGUUAUGGUCUAAGAAAACAAGAGGUUAAAAAUACUAUCAGAGACAUAUAUAAAACAACAACAGAAAAAAUUGGCAUUAUCAUCGAUAAUGGUGAGUUGUGGAUUUCAACUUUGGUAUGUUUAAUUCAGAACCCGCAGUGGGGUGGCGCUAGCACGCCUGCGUUAGGAGACGAGGGGACCAAUCUUGGGGCCGAGCUAAAAUAUAGGCUUGUAGAGCUCAUGCUGCUAAUGGUAAUGGGAACACCUACUAUUUCGGAUACUUUUCCGAUGCUGGUUUAAUUCAUGGUUUAGAAAGGAGAACAAAGAAGAUUUUUCGAUGCUUUGAAAAUAUUAUAAUUUUUAUAAAAUCUCUUAUUGAUAACUAAACAACUAAAAUUUCUGUAAAGUUUUUGUGGACUUUUGAUCUCCUAUGGUGCCAAUAUUUUCGACUAAUUUUUUCCUUCAAUUAAUGAUGUUGGUUGAGAAAGACUAUUUUUCUUGCAAUAAUAUAGUAUUCGUGGUCCUAUUAGGGUUCCGAAUGGAGAAAGUUGCACUAAGUUUUUUGAGUACCAAAUGAUGAGUAAUGUACGUAAGCCUUGAUGGUAGUUAUGGUCUAAGAAAACAAGAGGUUAAAAAUACUAUCUGGGAUUUGUACAACAAUAACAAAAUUGGCAAGCCCAUUGACAUUGGUGAAUUGUCAGUUUCAACCUUGGUAAGUGUUUUCAGAACAUGCUGUGGGGUGAAGCGCUUGGAAUAAGAAAGAAACGGAUGACGAAUAUUGGGGCUGAGCUUAGAUUUAAACUUGCAGAACUCAUGGUGCUGUCAGGAACACCGAAUAUUUCGGAUAUCUUUCCAGUGCUUUCAUGGUUUGAUAUACAAGGUUUUGAGAGAAUAGCAAAGAAGAUUUCUCUAUGGUUUUAAAAUAUUAUCAAUUCUACUGUUGAACGCUAUAGAAACAAGGUCUCAGUUGUUAAAAGUGAAGAAGAAGACGCAGCAGCAGCAGCAGCAGGGAACAACAUUGAAGGAAGGAAUAAGGACCUGGUGCAGUUACUCUUGGAGCUUCAAGGUAAAGAAGAAAAUGCUUCAUCAAUUAACAUGACGCAAUUUAAGAGCUUGCUCGUGGUAUGUUUGCGCAACUAGCCACAGACAGUUACAGAAACUGAGUUUGGCAGAUUACGACCGUUUCUGGUGAUUAUAUAACUAUUUGUGGCUGUUUUUUGUUUUUUUUUUCUUUUAAUUGGAAUUUUAUUGUAAAUUUCUUAACAGGAUAUAAUUUAGGGUGGAACCAACACCACAACUAUAAUGGUGGAAUGGACAAUGGCAUAAUUGAUACAGCAUCCACAAGUAAUGGAGAAUGUAAAGGUAGAACUAAGUCGGGCCGUGGCCAUUGACAGCCAUGUUGAAGAAUUUCACCUACCUAAGUUAAAAUAUUUAGAUGUUGUGGUGAAAGAAACAUUCCGCACGAUAAUAUAAUAUAUGAAUCAUAUAUCCUCUAUUGGUUUUUUGCUCCUUUUUUUUUCAAUAGCUUAAUCUAUCAUUAAAAUCUUCUGAAAUUCUAAAUUAAUAUACAUUCAACCUAGAGUUCAACCCAAAGUUUUAUUGAGCAUUAAAAAAAAAAAUUCUACGACUAAAAAUUUUACAGAGUAUAAAUUAAAAAUUAUGCGCCUACUAACAGACAAAAAACAAUUGAUACACAUUCACCAAUCAAAGGCAAACAAGAGAUUAUUAACAAUAACUUAAUAAUAAAAUUAUAAGGAAUCAAAUAGAAAUGGUACCUAGAAACACAUCACGCCAUUUAAUCAAUCACUUACCCAUAAAAUCCAAACUUAUAAACUAUUAAGGGGGGGAAAUGGAUACCUUUGGGUUUCAUUAAAUCAAAAUUACAACACCAUUAAAUACUCAAAAAUGAAAAAAAAAAAAUCAUACCCAAUAAAAGAGAAAAAAAUAACCCACAAAAAAAAUCAUCAAGAAAAUAAAUUUGAGACUAAGAGAAGAUAUUAAUUAACGCCUGGGUUGCAUUGGAACCACGGCUUUGGCUUCCAUUUUUCAAUUCUUGGUCACAAGUGAUUUCUUGUUUGUUUGCAAUGAUGACGGUUGAUUAAUGAAGCUCUAUUAACAAUGAAUGAAUCAAAAAACUUGAGCCUUGAAAAGACUAACGGUCAUAUUUUUCAACUCCGAAUUAGUGGCGUUUGAUGAGUCCUUGCCAAAACAAUCACUCGGCAGAUAACGAUCAUUUUUCAACCAGCAAAACUCAUUCAUUGUUUUUCACCUUAGUGAAGAUUUAAAAAUUGUUUCAAAAUAGGAUUCUUAAAAAAAUAAUAAUAAAAUGAUAUUUAACUUAAUUCUAACUUAGGAAAACAAAAUAUCUACACUCCCAAAGUUUGGAGAAAUGGUCAUUAAUAUCCCCAACUUUCCAAAAAGAGACACCAAGAACCCUUUUAACCAUAAUACUAUUUACUUCUAUUAUCCCAAAAAACAAUUGACUCUAAUAUUUUAUAAUAAAUAAAAAUAUAACAUUAAAAUAAAUGUAAUAGUAUAUACAUUUUAAAAUAGUUUCAAUAUUUAAAAAGCAUUUUAAUAUUUUUAAAUUCUAUUUUAUAUAUAUUGAUUAUUUUAAAGUAAAUUUUAUAAUAAAUAGAAUCAUAAUAUUAAAAUAAAUGCAUUAAAAUUUAAAUUAUUUUGAAUAUUAUGUAAAAUAAUAAUUUUAACAUUAUUAGUAUAUGAGAAUUUUUUUAAUUGUAGAAUGCAUUUAAUGCAAAUAUUUAUUUAAAAUCUCUACAAUAAAUAAAAAUAUACUAUUAAAACAAAACUCUACAAUACAUACAUACAUACAUAUACAUUGGCCUGGUAUUUUUAUUUUUCAUUUUUAAACUUAUUAAAUCCUCUAACUAUCAUUUGAUUUUUUUUUUUUUUCAAUGAUCAAGAGGUCAUUGCCGGAUAAAUGAUUAAAAUCAACUAGUUCUACAAGAAUAUCUCUUUUUAAAGGAAGAUGAUUCUCUCUCUCGAAAUUUUUUUAUCUCGUGCUACAAACUAAAAACUUAUGCCACUUCAUUAACCACAAAGAUCUUUGAGGAAAUGAUGCUUCCCUCCCCCCCCCCCCCCCCCCCCCUCCCACAAAAAAAAAAAAGAGUCCUUCCAUAUUGUGUGAAGGCUAAUAUAUCGAUGAAUCUAGAUUUCUUUAAAUUUUUUGUUUUACUCAAUUCGAGAUAAUAAUUCAAUCCAUGCAAAUAUCUAUCAUUGUAUGAGCUGACCAGUUAAUAGGUUGAUUGAAUAUAUGUGGUAAAGAUUCCACGUAUCUCAUGACAGAAUGCUGACCACUGGAACCCUAUCUACUUUUACGCGAUUAAUUCACGAGCUUAGGCACAACAAUUGCAAUACAAAUUAUCCCCUCAUCGUAUAUUUCGUUAAAAUUCAUUCUGAAGCAGUAAAACUAAACAAUCGAAUAUGGCUUUGCGGGUCGAUGAUGCCAGCAGCAAUGAGAGUGCAAUUAUCACUUGUUUAGUUUCUGUGCUUGCCGUGGCUUAUUUCGCAUGGAAUGUGAAAAAAUCAAGGAAAGCAAAUGCUAAACUGCCACCAGGAACUCGCGGCUUGCCUGUAGUCGGAUACCUCCCAUUUCUCGGGACUACUGACUUGCACAAGAAAUUCACGGAAUUUAUUUUACUAUUAUAUUUAUAUUCAAAAUAAUUUUAAUUAGCUUUUAAAAUGAAUGAUUUUAGGAAAUUAUAAAUAAAGGUAACUAAGAAUUCUCUUAAUGCAAUAUAUUAUUAAUUAGUUUAAAAAUACAAAUUUAUUAAUUAGAGAAAUUAUUAGUGAAUUUAAAUUAAUGAUCUUAAUGAUUUGUUUGUACGAUUGCCCCCAAUCAAAGGUAAUUUUCCUAAAAAUUAUUAGGAAAUUAGAGAAAUUUAAUUUUUUUUAGUGGGUUCAAUUGCCCACACACCCCGACUGAAGCAUUUUUUACAAUAUGUACUCCGUUUGUCGGCAGGAAAAUAAAGGUCUUGACACAUGAUCACUUCAUUCCUUUAUUUACUUUGCGAACGCAGAUUUUGAGGUAUUAAAACAAAUAAUAAUUGAAUAUGACUUUGUGGGUCGACGACGCCAGCAACGAGGAGACCGCCAAUUAUCACAUUUUAAGUUUGCUGUAAUUGCCAUUGUUUUAUAUUAGUAGAAUAUUAGUGAUAAGAUAAUUGUAGAGUUUUCAUUUUUUUAAUAUUAAAAUCAAGUCAAUUUAUUAUAAUAAAUUUAGUUGAAUUUAAUCGUAUUACCACAUAAAUUGAAUAAUAAUAGAAUUCUCCACAAAUAUUUCAAUAUUUUAAUCUCAAGCAUUGGAGUGGCAUUUAUUUGUUAUGCGGUCGAUUUUAGAAUUUUUAAAAUUAUUCGUUACUGAAUUGCACCAUAUGCUGCAUCACCUGGAACUUACUAAACGGAACGUAGCGUUGGCACCGUUACCAACAUUCACUGUUACGACUUUGUGACAUUAGAAUUAAAAUCUUUUCCACAUCUAAUUUGUUUACUUCCAAAUUAAUAUUUAACAAAAUAUUUUUUCACAUUAUCAAUGGACAAAACUCCAACGAAAAUAACUAUACAAGAAAAAUGUAUGCUAGAAUUGUAUGCCAUAUCAUCUGUAAUUUUGUCAGGAUCGAUCAUUCUAAUUUUGAAGCAGAACUUUUUAUCAAUGGACAAACACCUCACACAGCUUGUCAGAGGCAUUAUUAUGAUGUAAGAUUGUAAUGGUAUAUCUUGAAUUAUUGGUAGAAUAGUGAAUAACUAUUUGGAGCAAUAAAAACAAAUAAGACAGAUGAGAAAAUGGCUAAAAUUAUAUAAGUGACCCAAAUUGUUUUGCUAUUUCCAAGAAAUCCCCAAUCUGAAUGGACCAGCCAGAGGGAGGCAAGUUAGAAAUAUGUUUCCUUCAUAGACAAUAACAACGAUGAGUCGAUGACAUCAAGCCACGUCGGUAUCAAUAUUGAAAUAAAGGUGCAAUUAUUCAGCCAAUGAGCCUUACACAUCGAGAUAAAAGUCAAGAAAAUGAAAAUUUAUCCCAAUUAAAACACUUUCUGGCUGCAUUUAGCUGUUUCCAUUUGAAGUUAAAAACAACGUUUCUUUCGUUUUGUGGGCGACUCGACUGAGCUAGCUGGCUUCUAGUGCUGGUAAGUGAAAAUAGAAGGCUAAUGAUUUCACUUUCACAUUUUUCUUUUCCUUUUUUGGGAAUCAAAGUCAAGGUCAAGAAGAAUAAAUGGAGAAUUCGGAAAAAUGGGUGCAUAAUGUGAUCCAUUCAUGAAGAAGAGUACGUGAGCGUCGGGCAACAGUAUUUUUACCUAUUAAGCUCCAGUUUAAUUUUGUUGUAGGAAAACAAAAUUUUGUUUUCAAUUCACAUCGUGUGCAUCCAAUUCAACAAACACUUUGUAAUAAUUAAUGUUGAGUUGUAUCCUACGUUAAGGAGAGUUACUUAAAUUUAUAAAUAGGAUAAAUUACUCUAUUUAAUAAGUUAAUGUUUUCUUCUUUCUUCUAGAUUACAUAUAAAUUUAGUCAGAUAACCUAACACAUAUUUUAAUACUCGAUCAGAAGCCCUAAGCAGUGGUGGAUCCAAUAAAUUGAUUUAUAUGGUGUAAUAAUGUAAUAAAAAAAUGGUGAUUCAUAAAAUUGACCCAAUAUCAAAAUUUGUUUGCAAGAUUACUCCCCACUCAAAGGUAAUUUUCCUAAAAAUUAAUAGGAAAUUUAAUUGUCAUUGGGAUCAAAUUGCCCCCACACUCUUGAAUGUAGAUCCUCCCCUGGCCUUGAGUCAAGUAUUUUUUCCAAUAUAUACUCCGAAUGUCGGCAGGAACAACCUUCCACUUUAAUUUAAAAUUUUUACUUGAAAAAUUAAUUAAUGUUAAUAAAGUUCGUAAGAGAAAUGAGUUUAAUAAAAGAAAAUUAUAGGAGAAAUUCUAAUGUUUGUCUUUUAAUAAAUUAGUUUAUAAGUUUAAAAAGUUAACAUAUAUCAAAAUAUUAUUGAUUGGUGGUGGUUUCACGUCAGAUUAAGACGUGACACUUUACUUGUGAGACUGAGACAAUCAGCUUAGACUACUUCAAUAGGUUUGAAGCGUAGGCGGCACCCAUUCAAUUUGCACCAAUGUCUAUCAUUCUUUGUCCUAAUUACUACGAUAAUUAAUAACAUGCAAUUGAAAUUAUUAAUGUUAGUACUUGCCUAUAAAUAAAGGUAUUGUACUUGAAUCUUCAUAGAUGAUCACUUCAUUCCUUUAUUUACUUUGGUAACACAGAUUUUGAGAGACAUUAAAACUAAAGAAUAAUUGAAUAUGGCUUUGUGGGUUGAUGAUGCCAGCUCCAACGUGAGUGCAAUUAUCGCAUGUUUAAUUGCUCUAUUAGCCGUGGUCUAUUUCGUGUGGACAAGGAAAACAAAUGCUAAACUUCCACCAGGACCUCGCGGCUUGCCUGUAAUCGGAUACCUCCCUUUUCUCGGAACUACUGACUUGCACAAGACAUUCACGGAAUUAGCUGGUGUGUAUGGUCCAAUCUUCAAGCUCUGGCUUGGCAACAAAUUG
rnacentral:lncRNA from 1 species